AAUAAAGGGCAAAUCUCCAAAAUAGCACCUUUCUAAGUUUAUAUCACAAAAAUAGCACUCCAAAACUAAAAUGACCAAAAUAGCACCUUUCUAAGUUUAUCCUUUGAAAAUUUUAUUUUUUUUAUUUUUCAAAAUUUGAAAUCUUAUCCCCAAAACCUCAUUUCUCAACUCUAAACCCUAAACCCUAAAUUCUAAACCCUAAACCCUAAAUUCUAAACCCUAAACCCUAAACCCUAAACCCUAAACCCUAAACCCUAAUCUAUAAACCCUAAACCCUAAACUCUAAACCAUAAACCAUAAACCCUAAACCCUAAAUCCUAAACCCCACCCUUUAACUCUAAACCCUAAGUUUGUGACUUUUGAUAAAACAUUAAGUGCUAUUUUUGUGAUUUUUGACCUUGAGUGCUAGUUUGGGAACAAAAACUUGAUUUAGUGCUAUUUUUGUAUUUUUCUCAAAAAUAAAAUACAUAUAUAAUAAUGUUAAUUAGAUAUAUUUGAUUCAUUAAGGGUAUAUCGUAAUCAACUACGUGAGAUUUAACGUGAGAACGACACGUAGAAAACUGACUUCUCAAAUAAUAUUACAGAGAUUACCUAGAAUUUUCAGUAUUAUCGAACCAACUUAUCUCCUGGUGAAUAACUUUAUCAAAAGAUAAUGAUCUAAUGCGUUUGAUAAAUCUUCCUCCAGCUAUAGCGAACAGAUAGUUUUGAAACGGAACCACGAUCAGAUCCGUUAAACCGAGCAAGACGAAGAUGAUAGCCCAGAAAUGUGAAUCUUUACGUAGUUGAUCUAAGGCUCGAAGAAUAUCUUGAUAGUGCUAGACAUAAGCAGCCCUUGGACCGGGUACACAAUACCGUGAACCGCUGCAGCCAAUGAACCGGCCAACAAAACUGGAAUCUCUGGUUUGUUGAGGUGAGCAAGCCGUCGCAACGAUACUUUCUCUCGUUUCUUGGACGCUUUGUUCUCCGUGGAAGACUUAUUCUCGUGGGUUUCUUUGGUUUGGUUCAAAUUAAUCGGUCUCGGUAAACCAAAAUCGGUUUGGUUGUGGCUAACGGAUAUAUUCUCACGCAGCUCCAGUUCCUCCACUCCUCCUUUCUUUGAUACUUCUUGUAGACUAACAAGCUGUGAAUACGCUCCCUCGGGAUCUUGAAUCAUCUCCUCGUGAGUUCCUGAUUACAACUUCUGUUAAUAUACACUUAUAAACUGAUUACGUGCGUAGCGCGGUACUAAAUAAAUCCCAAACCUUUCUCAAUGAUUUUGCCCUGCUGCACAACGGCGAUCAUGCUGGCGGUUUUAAUAGUGGUAAGUCGAUGAGCCACCGCGAUGAUUGUCCGGGUUGACAUUAGCUUAACAAGAGCGUCCUGAACUGUUCGUUCUGAUUCCGCAUCUAAAGCACUUGUUGCUUCAUCAAGAAGCAAGAUUUUAGGGUUUUUCAAUAUGGCCCUAGCAAUCGCGAGCCUCUGCUUCUGUCCACCAGAUAAUUGUGUCCCGUGAUCUCCUACCAUUGUGUCCAAACCCUAAAAAUAUAGAGAAUUAAGAAAUGUAAACUCGAUUUAUUGGUCAAAAUCGUUACACCUAAAGUUUAAGUACCUGCGGCAGUUUGUCGACAAACCUAGUAGCAUUAGCCAGCUUAACCGCGGUUCUAAUUUCUUCAUCGGAUGCAUCUUCUUUCCCAUAAACAAUGUUCUCCCUGAUUGUGGUUGCGAAAAGUAUAGGCUCUUGGCUUACUAAACCAAUCUUGCUUCUGAUCCAUCUUAACUGAAGCUUCUUUAAAGCAAUUCCAUCAAUUAAAACUUCUCCUGAUUCCGGAUCAUAGAACCUCUCAAUCAGACUGAUCACUGUUGAUUUUCCGCUUCCACUCUGCCCCACCAAAGCCACGGUGGUGCCAUUUGGUACAACCAACGAAAAUCCAGCAAAGAUCUGCACGUCAGGUCUUGCUGGAUAUCGAAAAUACACGUCUUUUAGCUCAAUGUCUCCUUUAAUCUCGUCCAAAACCUUACCAGUCAUGCUAUAAGCAUCUAUCUUUGGUUUUGUUUUUAUAGUCUCAAACAUUUUGUAGGCUGCGGCUUGUCCAGCCGCGAAAGCGUUAAGAGAAGGUAAUGUCUGCCCCAACGACCUGAGAAUGUGUAAGAAAAUUAAGAUUUUCAGUAUCACAAAAAAAAAUUAUGAGAACAUGUAAUCGUUAUACUCACAUUCCUCCACCCAAAAUUGCGAAAAUAACGUUCAUGACUUGACCUCCAGUAUAUCCUUUCUCCAUUAUCAGCCAAGCACCGUACCAAAUGGCAAUACCAUAUGUACAAUAACUUACAACCAUCAUUAUUCCAAGGCCUAGACCCGAGAAGAGCCCUUGUUGAACCAUAGAUUUAUAGGCAAUCUCGACCUUCUUCUCGUGUUUUUGGGUUGCUUGUUUCUCUCGGGUGAAUGCCACGACCUGACAAAACAUCAAAAAUUUGUGAUAUGAAUCUAUGUGAUUAUCUAGAAAAAAAAAGAAUUUCGGACUGCGCGAGAACUUACUGUUCUAAUCGACCCAACAGCUUGUUCUAUUACAUUUCCAGCUUCCGCAUAAGCGUGUAGGCCACGACCAACCAUUUUGGACAUGAUCAAGGCCAUUGCACCACCAGUGGCCACGAUCAAUGGAAUGCAUGGAAUAAGAGCUACUGUGAGGCGUCUGCCAAUUAUACAAGCGACUGUGAAUCCACCAAAGAAUGUUGAUAUUAACGGUACAAAUUUCCCAACCUGAAAAUUUUGAAAUCAUAGAAAAAAAAAAGAAUAUUCACUAACUUGUAUCGCAAGAAACAGCCGAUUAAUAUAAAAAAAAUUAAAGAAAACCUUUUCUCCCAUUGUAAGAAUGGUGUCCCCGGACAUUUUUUUGAUAACUCUGGUAUCUGGGCAGCCACAUUACCAACUAUCCCCCGUAGAGGGUCCAGCGCCCCAACGGAAGGGAUGUUAAAUCCGGGGAUGUUAAAUCCGCUGUGGCCGGGGCUCGAACUCGUGAUGGCGGGCACCUCAGCCGAGGUUCCUAUACCACCAGACCACGAGGCCCGGUUAAAACUGUAUAGGUUGAACUUUUUAUAGUGACUGGACUCACCCCGAAGGGCCACCUCGCCAGAAACCGUACAUUCUGCCGAUGAUUUCACCGGUGCUUGUCUCGGUGUCAAAAAAGCCAAUAUCUUGUCUUAAUAUUGUUUUGAGGUAUAGCACUCGAAUUCUGGCGGACUGACGCUCCCCAGUUACCUUCCAACAUGAGACCUCUGCGAAAGAACGAAAAGGCUUUGUGAACAAGUUAGGUCGAGCUAAAUGUGAAGAAGGAAAACAGAGUUUCGACUUACGCAGAAAAGACACAACGCACGCGUAGACUGCAAGGUAAAGAAACUUCAAAGCAACCUGAGAUUAAUUAAUUGAGAUCAUUCUAUAUUAACAGCAAGCAAUUGAGAUUUAAAUUUACAAUUCGUGCAUAUGAGAAAAUUCAAAUUUUAGUUUUCCAUUUUGUACUCAAGACGCAAAUGAGGAAGUAAAUUUUCAUUUCAAUUCAAGAAAGUAGAAAAGAGGAACAAAGUAAAACGAAACUAUAAAUUGUUUCCAGUUGUCGCACAAAAAAAAAAAAUGUUUCCAGUUAAUAAUAAUCACAUUAAAGAACUAUUGAACCUUUUCAUGCAUAUGCACCAAAUUUUAUAAGGUAUAUGCACCAAAUUUUAUAUUUCUGUGAAGAAAAUUUAAAAUAGUGUAAAAUUGAGAAAAAAAAAGAAUAUCUCUUUACAAUUUAAGAAUUAAAGAUCAAAGUAGAAGAAAAACAUUUGGUCAAUAAACCUUGGUCAAUCUGACGAUUUAUGUAAUAAACGUAACAUAUAAAGUCUUUUGGAUUUUUCCCCUUUAAGAAAUAAAACCAAAAAAUACAUCUAAAUAUUAUAACAAUAAUAAUAAUCUUAACCAGACAUCAAUUUUUUUUUACAAAAAAAAAAAAAUCAGUUUUGUUGUGAAGGACAACUCCUUUCAUUUUAAAUUUAUGUUAUGCUGUUUCCUCUUUUCUGUGUAAAAGGACCAGCUAAAACUACAAUUAGGAAAAAUCAAAAUCCAUACAGUGAAAUCCUCAAAAACCCUUGAACUGAUAUCAGUAAUAACAACUACAAAAUGUCAUAAAUCAUUUGAGUUCCUAACCUUGGAGACUUCUUUAACCAUGUGAUCGUGAUCAGAGAAGCCAAAGACGUUAAUGAUUUUGCCUAUGAGUACUGACAUAAUCGGCUGAGCUAGGCCGUUGGCCAUGGCGGAGAUAGUCCCAACAGCCAUUAAAAUGAUGUCGUAUCGAUCUGCAAACGUUAAAAGCUUGUAAAACGCUACUUUCUGAUUGCCUCCGUCUCCAUUCGUGAUCCUCUUCGCUUUCUCCUCCAUUGGUUUCUUAAGGGGGAUAAAAAAAGAGAAUUUAACCCAAAAGAAAAACUAUUGGAAUUAUACGAGUCAGAUGUCACUCUUUGGACUUUAUAAACUCGGUUCAUCUGGCCGGUUACAAUGAGUGAGAGCAAAAGGAACAAAAUUCAACAUUGCCUUCUCAAGGUACUUUGUCCAUUUAAGUUGUAUUUAUUCAAAUGCUUUUGAAUCCUUUGGACUUUGGUAGUCCUUAUAAUUUAUUCUAUCCUUUUUUGCAUGAUCUACUUUUUCGUUUUAUUUUACAAGGCAUGAUCUAACUCCUUAUAAUGAAUUGUCUCAUAUGUACAUUACGAUUGCCAUUUUUUUUUUUUUGUAAACUUUAACUACGACUGCCAUUAUUACAUGGUAAAUCUACCUUCCUUUGAAAAUCAUGCAUUAGACCUUGGGCUAAAUCUCAUCAAAAACGGGUUAUAGACUUAUAGUUUCUUUUGCUUUAGGCAGCCCAAUACAUAUGAUCUGAUAAAUGAUGACCGCUAAUCCCAACUGAAAGAAAAAGCUAAACGGUAUAGUUACGCCAGCUUUAAACAAAGAAAUGAAGGACUCGGUAUUGAAGUUAAACUUGAUUUUGGGUUAUGCUUAAUUAUGGACCAAUAAACUUUUAUUGGACUAAACCCAAAAUUAAACUUAAAUUCUAGAAUCUUUUUAGAAUUAUCAUCACCUCCUCAAAUAGAAAAAUAUCUAGAUAUUGUAGUAGAAAAAUCUAGAGAAUAAAGAAAAAUCUAGGAAGUAAGGAAGUUGUAAUAGAACCAUCUAGAUAUUUGUAAUAGAGUUUAGGAGGCUAUAAAUACCUCUUCAUCCUCUCAUUUGUAAAAACAUAAGAAGUUGAACAAGUAAAGUAUAAGAAAUUUUUCUUAAAUAAAGAGUGUUCUACUCAAAGUUCUCUAAAUCUCUUUAAGAGUUCUUCCAUAUUAUUCUUCAUACUUGGAAGUUUUCUUGUUUCUUUUGGGUUCUCGGGUAUUACGGUCUUGGGCUAGUGCUAAGCACUAUCAAGAGUGGUUUCUUUACAUGGUAUCAGAGCCAAGCUAAUCUUGUGCUCAUCAAGAUCGGUUUUUAAAGAGAGCUAGAGUAUAUUCUAAGUAUGGAAUCAACGGGUCGUGUUGUUGGAUUGAGAAUGGAAAUCUUAAACCAAUCUAACUACCGGUUAUGGAAGUCAUGCAUGGAGUCAUACCUGGUGAGUGAGGACUUAUGGGAUGUCGUCGGUGGUAACAACACAACACCACCAAGGGGAAAUGCUGCAACCCCGGAAGCGACAAAGGAGUGGACACGGAAGAAUGCCAAGGCGGAGUUUGCUUUGAAGAGGUCCAUAUCUUCAAGCAUAUUUGAGCAUGUCUCAAGGUGUACUUCCGCUAGUUCCAUUUGGCAAGCUUUAGAUCAAUUGUUCAACAAGAAGAAUGAGGCUAAACUACAAUUAUUAGAGAAUGAGCUUGCGAAUGCGAAGCAGGGGGAGUCUUCAAUCUCGGAGUUUUUUUAUCAAGGUAAAGAACCUAUGCUCCGAGAUUAAUACUCUAAAUCCGGAGGAGUCAAUUUCUGAAGCACGGUUGAAGCGGUCUAUCAUUCGAGGUCUACGGCCUGAAUAUACACCGUUUGUGACUUCGGUUCAAGGAUGGGCUACACAACCUUCCUUGGAAGAGUUUGAAAAUUUGCUAGCUUCGCAAGAGUCAUUAGCCAUGCAAAUGUCAGGAGUCAAAAUCAAUGAUGACUCGGGAAGCGCCUUUGUAGCUCGGAGACAACAAAGCUUCAAGGCGAAAAACAAAGAUGGAGGUUCAAGACACAAUGAUGGAAGUGAAGGAUCUUCUAUGGAUAAGAAAAAGUUCAAGUGCUAUCGGUGUGGAAAGCUUGGGCAUUUCAAAAGGGAUUGUCGAGUCAAGUUGAAGGAAACAAAUAUGGUGUAGUCAAAAAGUCAUACGGAAGACGAAGAAUUGGGGGAAAUGUUUCACGGUGGAGGCUACACAUCCAGGUACACCCACAACUAAAAACUUGAGAAAUGAUUGGAUUGUAGACUCGGGUUGUAGCCAUCAUAUUACCGGAGAUGAGAAGUUAUUUUCUAGUCUUCAACGUCAUGACGGGAAAGAAGCCAUUAUUACCGCUGAUAAUUCAAUCCAUCGAGUUGAGAAAGAAGGGACUGUUGUCAUUAAAGGAGAUGAUGAGGAACCGAUCACCCUCAAGAAUGUGUACCAUGUCCCUGGAGUAAAGAAGAAUCUCCUUUCGGUGGUGAAUGCGGUCGACUCAAGUAACUAUGUUCUAUUUGGCCCAAGAGACGUUAAGUUCUUAAGGAAUAUUAAAGAAUUAAAGGCGGAUGUUGUUCACACUGGAGCACGCGUCAAAGAUUUAUAUGUUUUAUCGGCCUCACACGCCUAUGUGGAGAAGAUGAGUACGAAUGACAAUGCUUCCAUCUGGCAUGCUAGACUUGGCCAUAUAAAUAUGACCAAGCUUAAGGUCAUGGUGAAUAAAGAUUUUGUUCAUGGGCUUCCAAAAUUGAAGAUUCAAGAUGGAGGAAAGAUUUGUGAAGGUUGUCAAUAUGGAAAGUCACAUAGACUUCCAUUUGAUCAUUCAACCUCAAGGUGCAACGGUCUAUUGGAGAAGGUCCAUAGUGAUUUGAUGGGUCCAACAAGAACAUCCUCCUAUUCCGGGUUUCGCUACAUGUUGCUGUUCAUAGAUGAUUUCUCACGGUACACCUGGGUAUACUUUGUGAAGAAAAAAUCAGAAGUAUUUCAAAGAUUUCAAGAAUUCAAGGUUACCGUGGAAGGAGAGUUUGGCCGGAAGCUAAAGACUCUAAGGACGGAUAAUGGAGGAGAAUUCAUGUCAAAGGAGUUUCUCUCUUUUUGCCAAAAGAAUGGUAUUAAGAGAGAAUAUACAUGUCCGUAUACACCUCAACAAAAUGGAGUAGCAGAAAGAAAAAUUAGACAUCUAACUGAGACGUGCAGAAGUUGGCUACAUGAUAAGAAUUUGCCAAAGGCCUUAUGGGCAGAAGGCAUGAGAUGCGCAGCCUAUGUCAUCAACCGGAUGCCACUCAGUCCAAACAACAUGAAGUCGCCUUACGAGAUGAUUCACGGGAAGAAGCCGACGGUGAAGCAUCUAAGGAUAUUUGGAUCGGUCUGCUACGUUCAUGUGUUCGACUCCCAAAGAACAAAGUUGGAAGCAAAGGCAAAGAAGUGCAUCUUUGUCGGUUACGAUGAACAACGAAAGGGCUGGAGGUGUAUGGAUCCAGAGACACAUAAAUACACAGUGUCUCGUGAUGUUGUCUUUGACGAAGUUUCAUCCUACUAUGGACCACAUCAAGUCUUAGAUGAGCAUGAUGGUUCAUGUUCCUCCAAGACUGAUGAACAAAUUAUUCAAGUUCCAAGUAGUAAUGAAAGCUUUGAAAAGGAGACUCAAGGUGAAAGGGGGAGCAUUGACCAAGAUGAAGAAGAGGAGCAUGAUCAUGGUUCUAUCGCCAAUCAACGACCAAAAAGGAACAUUGUCAAACCCGCUCGGUUCAGAGAUGAAAGGUUCGUCACCACUUACUCUUGUUACUUUGCAGCUCCUUUCGAUGAAGAUGAACCAUCAUCUUAUGAAGAAGCAAAAGGAGUUGAAGAAUGGAUGAUCGCAAUGAAGGAAGAGAUUGAUGCUCUCAUGAAAAAUGAAACAUGGGAUUUGGUUCCGAAACCAAAGGAUGCUAAACCUGUUUCUUGUAAAUGGGUGUAUCGACUAAAGAGAAAGGCGGAUGGGAGCAUCGAUAGAUACAAAGCAAGGUUGGUUGCUCGAGGAUUCUCUCAGAAGUACGGAGAAGAUUAUGAUGAGACCUUCAGUCCAGUAGCAAAGAUGACUACGGUACGCUCACUCUUAUCACUAGCUGCAAGCUUUAGAUGGAAACUAUGGCAGUUAGAUGUGAAGAAUGCUUUUCUCUAUGGUGAGAUUGAUAAGGAAAUUUUUAUGGAGCAACCACCUGGUUUUGAGUCACAAGAGUAUCCUAACCAUGUAUGCAAGCUAAAGAAAGCCUUGUAUGGGUUAAAACAAGCUCCACGGGCUUGGUAUGGAAAGCUUGCUCAAUUUCUUCAGUUUUGCGGGUAUAUGGCAUCAAGUGCUGAUUCAAGCCUAUUCUUCAAGAGAAGUGGAAGAGUUCAUGUAGUAGUUCUCCUCUACGUGGAUGAUAUGAUCAUUACUGGAAAUGACGAUGCUGAAAUUGCUCGUCUACAAGAGGAUAUGUCGGUGAGGUUUGAGAUGAAGAAGUUAGGUGAGCUGAAUCACUUUCUUGGUCUAGAGGUCGAGAGGGUAAAGGAUGGAAUAUUCAUCGGCCAACAAGGUUAUGCGAAAAGGAUUGUUGACAGGUUUGGAGUACACCAAGGAAAGGUACGUUCCACUCCACUAGAUACUAACAUAAGGCUCAAACGCGAUGAAGGAUCAUUGUUAGCCAAUCCUCGACCUUAUCGCUCUCUUGUUGGAAGUCUUCUAUACUUAACCAUUACAAGACCAGAUAUUGCCUUUGCGGUUGGCCUUGUAAGCCGGUUCAUGCAGGAACCAAGGAAGCCACAUCUAGAAGCGGCAAAGAAGAUAUUAAAAUAUGUGAAGACAACUCUUGGCAUGGGACUGAUGUACAAGUAUAAUGCCAAGGUUUCUCUUCAUGGUUUCACAGAUGCUGACUUUGGUGGAGAUUUAGAUGAUCGAAAAUCAACUUCGGGUUUUGUGUUCUUAUGUGGAGACACAAGCAUUUCAUGGUGCAGUAAGAAGCAAGCAACGGUGUCAUUGUCUACUACCGAAGCAGAGUAUAAAGCUUCAACACUCGCAGCCCAAGAAUGUAUAUGGCUUCGAAGACUCCUUGAAGACUUGUUCAAACCAAUCAAUAAAUCGAUUACCAUCUAUGGAGAUAACCAAAGUGCUAUCAAGCUGGCCAAUAAUCCAGUGUUCCAUGGAAGAACAAAGCACAUUGAAUUGGAACAUCAUUUCAUAAGAGAGAAGGUGCUUGAUGGAACAAUUGAAGCAUUGGAGGUUCGAAGCGAGGACAACAUUGCUGAUAUCUUCACCAAGUCAUUACCUAAAGGUCAGUUCGAGAUACUCCGCUCCAAGCUCGGAAUGGUGGACAAAAUCAAGUUUAAGGGGGAGUAUUGAAGUUAAACUUGAUUUUGGGCUAUGCUUAAUUAUGGACCAAUAAACUCUUAUUGGACUAAACCCAAAAUUAAGCUUAAAUUCUAGAAUCUUUCUAGAAUUAUCAUCACCUCCUCAAAUAGAAAAAUAUCUAGAUAUUGUAGUAGAAAAAUCUAGAGAAUAAAGAAAAAUCUAGGAAGUAAGGAGGUUGUAAUAGAACCAUCUAGAUAUUUUUAAUAGAGUUUAGGAGGCUAUAAAUACCUCUUCAUCCUCUCAUUUGUAACAACACAAGAAGUUGAACAAGUAAAGUAUAAGAAAGUUUUCUUAAAGAAAGAGUGUUCUACUCAAAGUUCUCUAAAUCUCUUUGAGAGUUCUUCCAUAUUAUUCUUCAUACUUGGAAGUUUUCUUGUUUCUUUCGGGUUCUCGGGUAUUACGGUCUUGGGCUAGUGCUAAGCACUAUCAAGGGUGGUUUCUUUACAUGGUAUCAGAGCCAAGCUAAUCUUGUGCUCAUCAAGAUCGGUUUUUAAAGAGAGCUCGGGUCUAUUCUAAGUAUGGAAUCAACGGGUCGUGUUGUUGGAUUGGGAAUGGAAAUCCUAAACCAAUCUAACUACCGGUUAUGGAAGUCAUGCAUGGAGUCAUACCUGGUGAGUGAGGACUUAUGGGAUGUCGUCGGUGGUAACAACACAACACCACCAAGGGGAAAUGCUGCAACCCCGGAAGCGACAAAGGAGUGGACACGGAAGAAUGCCAAGGCGGAGUUUGCUUUGAAGAGGUCCAUAUCUUCAAGCAUAUUUGAGCAUGUCUCAAGGUGUACUUCCGCUAGUUCCAUUUGGCAAGCUUUAGAUCAAUUGUUCAACAAGAAGAAUGAGGCUAAACUACAAUUAUUAGAGAAUGAGCUUGCGAAUGCGAAGCAGGGGGAGUCUUCAAUCUCGGAGUUUUUUAUCAAGGUAAAGAACCUAUGCUCUGAGAUUAAUACUCUAAAUCCGGAGGAGUCAAUUUCUGAAGCACGGUUGAAGCGGUCUAUCAUUCGAGGUCUACGGCCUGAAUAUACACCGUUUGUGACUUCGGUUCAAGGAUGGGCUACACAACCUUCCUUGGAAGAGUUUGAAAAUUUGCUAGCUUCGCAAGAGUCAUUAGCCAUGCAAAUGUCAGGAGUCAAAAUCAAUGAUGACUCGGGAAGCGCCUUUGUAGCUCGGAGACAACAAAGCUUCAAGGCGAAAAACAAAGAUGGAGGUUCAAGACACAAUGAUGGAAGUGAAGGAUCUUCUAUGGAUAAGAAAAAGUUCAAGUGCUAUCGGUGUGGAAAGCUUGGGCAUUUCAAAAGGGAUUGUCGAGUCAAGUUGAAGGAAACAAAUAUGGUGGAGUCAAAAAGUCAUACGGAAGAUGAAGAAUGGGGGAAAUGUUUCACGGUGGAGGCUACACAUCCAGGUACACCCACAACUAAAAACUUGAGAAAUGAUUGGAUUGUAGACUCGGGUUGUAGCCAUCAUAUUACCGGAGAUGAGAAGUUAUUUUCUAGUCUUCAACGUCAUGACGGGAAAGAAGCCAUUAUUACCGCUGAUAAUUCAAUCCAUCGAGUUGAGAAAGAAGGGACUGUUGUCAUUAAAGGAGAUGAUGAAGAAUCGAUCACCCUCAAGAAUGUGUACCAUGUCCCUGGAGCCUAGCUGCAAGCUUUAGAUGGAAACUAUGGCAGUUAGAUGUGAAGAAUGGUUUUCUCUAUGGUGAGAUUUAUAAGGAAAUUUUUAUGGAGCAACCACCUGGUUUUGAGUCACAAGAGUAUCCUAACCAUGUAUGCAAGCUAAAGAAAGCCUUGUAUGGGUUAAAACAAGCUCCACGGGCUUGGUAUGGAAAGCUUGCUCAAUUUCUUCAGUUUUGCGGGUAUAUGGCAUCAAGUGCUGAUUCAAGCCUAUUCUUCAAGAGAAGUGGAAGAGUUCAUGUAGUAGUUCUCCUCUACGUGGAUGAUAUGAUCAUUACUAGAAAUGACGAUGCUGAAAUUGCUCGUCUACAAGAGGAUAUGUCGGUGAGGUUUGAGAUGAAGCCAAAAUUGAAGAUUCAAGAUGGAGGAAAAAUUUGUGAAGGUUGUCAAUAUGGAAAGUCACAUAGACUUCCAUUUGAUCAUUCAACCUCAAGGUGCAACGGUCUAUUGGAGAAGGUCCAUAGUGAUUUGAUGGGUCCAACAAGAACAUCCUCCUAUUCCGGGUUUCGCUACAUGUUGCUGUUCAUAGAUGAUUUCUCACGGUACACCUGGGUAUACUUUGUGAAGGAAAAAUCAGAAGUAUUUCAAAGAUUUCAAGAAUUCAAGGUUACCGUGGAAGGAGAGUUUGGCCGGAAGCUAAAGACUCUAAGGACGGAUAAUGGAGGAGAAUUCAUGUCAAAGGAGUUUCUCUCUUUUUGCCAAAAGAAUGGUAUUAAGAGAGAAUAUACAUGUCCGUAUACACCUCAACAAAAUGGAGUAGCAGAAAGAAAAAUUAGACAUCUAACUGAGACGUGCAGAAGUUGGCUACAUGAUAAGAAUUUGCCAAAGGCCUUAUGGGCAGAAGGCAUGAGAUGCGCAGCCUAUGUCAUCAACCGGAUGCCACUCAGUCCAAACAACAUGAAGUCGCCUUACGAGAUGAUUCACGGGAAGAAGCCGACGGUGAAGCAUCUAAGGAUAUUUGGAUCGGUCUGCUACGUUCAUGUGUUCGACUCCCAAAGAACAAAGUUGGAAGCAAAGGCAAAGAAGUGCAUCUUUGUCGGUUACGAUGAACAACGAAAGGGCUGGAGGUGUAUGGAUCCAGAGACACAUAAAUACACAGUGUCUCGUGAUGUUGUCUUUGACGAAGUUUCAUCCUACUAUGGACCACAUCAAGUCUUAGAUGAGCAUGAUGGUUCAUGUUCCUCCAAGACUGAUGAACAAAUUAUUCAAGUUCCAAGUAGUAAUGAAAGCUUUGAAAAGGAGACUCAAGGUGAAAGGGGGAGCAUUGACCAAGAUGAAGAAGAGGAGCAUGAUCAUGGUUCUAUCGCCAAUCAACGACCAAAAAGGAACAUUGUCAAACCCGCUCGGUUCAGAGAUGAAAGGUUCGUCACCACUUACUCUUGUUACUUUGCAGCUCCUUUCGAUGAAGAUGAACCAUCAUCUUAUGAAGAAGCAAAAGGAGUUGAAGAAUGGAUGAUCGCAAUGAAGGAAGAGAUUGAUGCUCUCAUGAAAAAUGAAACAUGGGAUUUGGUUCCGAAACCAAAGGAUGCUAAACCUGUUUCUUGUAAAUGGGUGUAUCGACUAAAGAGAAAGGCGGAUGGGAGCAUCGAUAGAUACAAAGCAAGGUUGGUUGCUCGAGGAUUCUCUCAGAAGUACGGAGAAGAUUAUGAUGAGACCUUCAGUCCAGUAGCAAAGAUGACUACGGUACGCUCACUCUUAUCACUAGCUGCAAGCUUUAGAUGGAAACUAUGGCAGUUAGAUGUGAAGAAUGCUUUUCUCUAUGGUGAGAUUGAUAAGGAAAUUUUUAUGGAGCAACCACCUGGUUUUGAGUCACAAGAGUAUCCUAACCAUGUAUGCAAGCUAAAGAAAGCCUUGUAUGGGUUAAAACAAGCUCCACGGGCUUGGUAUGGAAAGCUUGCUCAAUUUCUUCAGUUUUGCGGGUAUAUGGCAUCAAGUGCUGAUUCAAGCCUAUUCUUCAAGAGAAGUGGAAGAGUUCAUGUAGUAGUUCUCCUCUACGUGGAUGAUAUGAUCAUUACUGGAAAUGACGAUGCUGAAAUUGCUCGUCUACAAGAGGAUAUGUCGGUGAGGUUUGAGAUGAAGAAGUUAGGUGAGCUGAAUCACUUUCUUGGUCUAGAGGUCGAGAGGGUAAAGGAUGGAAUAUUCAUCGGCCAACAAGGUUAUGCGAAAAGGAUUGUUGACAGGUUUGGAGUACACCAAGGAAAGGUACGUUCCACUCCACUAGAUACUAACAUAAGGCUCAAACGCGAUGAAGGAUCAUUGUUAGCCAAUCCUCGACCUUAUCGCUCUCUUGUUGGAAGUCUUCUAUACUUAACCAUUACAAGACCAGAUAUUGCCUUUGCGGUUGGCCUUGUAAGCCGGUUCAUGCAGGAACCAAGGAAGCCACAUCUAGAAGCGGCAAAGAAGAUAUUAAAAUAUGUGAAGACAACUCUUGGCAUGGGACUGAUGUACAAGUAUAAUGCCAAGGUUUCUCUUCAUGGUUUCACAGAUGCUGACUUUGGUGGAGAUUUAGAUGAUCGAAAAUCAACUUUGGGUUUUGUGUUCUUAUGUGGAGACACAAGCAUUUCAUGGUGCAGUAAGAAGCAAGCAACGGUGUCAUUGUCUACUACCGAAGCAGAGUAUAAAGCUUCAACACUCGCAGCCCAAGAAUGUAUAUGGCUUCGAAGACUCCUUGAAGACUUGUUCAAACCAAUCAAUAAAUCGAUUACCAUCUAUGGAGAUAACCAAAGUGCUAUCAAGCUGGCCAAUAAUCCAGUGUUCCAUGGAAGAACAAAGCACAUUGAAUUGGAACAUCAUUUCAUAAGAGAGAAGGUGCUUGAUGGAACAAUUGAAGCAUUGGAGGUUCGAAGCGAGGACAACAUUGCUGAUAUCUUCACCAAGUCAUUACCUAAAGGUCAGUUCGAGAUACUCCGCUCCAAGCUCGGAAUGGUGGAAAAAAUCAAGUUUAAGGGGGAGUAUUGAAGUUAAACUUGAUUUUGGGCUAUGCUUAAUUAUGGACCAAUAAACUCUUAUUGGACUAAACCCAAAAUUAAGCUUAAAUUCUAGAAUCUUUCUAGAAUUAUCAUCACCUCCUCAAAUAGAAAAAUAUCUAGAUAUUGUAGUAGAAAAAUCUAGAGAAUAAAGAAAAAUCUAGGAAGUAAGGAGGUUGUAAUAGAACCAUCUAGAUAUUUUUAAUAGAGUUUAGGAGGCUAUAAAUACCUCCUCAUCCUCUCAUUUGUAAAAACACAAGAAGUUGAACAAGUAAAGUAUAAGAAAGUUUUCUUAAAGAAAGAGUGUUCUGCUCAAAGUUCUCUAAAUCUCUUUGAGAGUUCUUCCAUAUUAUUCUUCAUACUUGGAAGUUUUCUUGUUUCUUUCGGNNNNNNNNNNNNNNNNNNNNNNNNNNNNNNNNNNNNNNNNNNNNNNNNNNNNNNNNNNNNNNNNNNNNNNNNNNNNNNNNNNNNNNNNNNNNNNNNNNNNNNNNNNNNNNNNNNNNNNNNNNNNNNNNNNNNNNNNNNNNNNNNNNNNNNNNNNNNNNNNNNNNNNNNNNNNNNNNNNNNNNNNNNNNNNNNNNNNNNNNNNNNNNNNNNNNNNNNNNNNNNNNNNNNNNNNNNNNNNNNNNNNNNNNNNNNNNNNNNNNNNNNNNNNNNNNNNNNNNNNNNNNNNNNNNNNNNNNNNNNNNNNNNNNNNNNNNNNNNNNNNNNNNNNNNNNNNNNNNNNNNNNNNNNNNNNNNNNNNNNNNNNNNNNNNNNNNNNNNNNNNNNNNNNNNNNNNNNNNNNNNNNNNNNNNNNNNNNNNNNNNNNNNNNNNNNACCAAGGAAAGGUACGUUCCACUCCACUAGAUACUAACAUAAGGCUCAAACGCGAUGAAGGAUCAUUGUUAGCCAAUCCUCGACCUUAUCGCUCUCUUGUUGGAAGUCUUCUAUACUUAACCAUUACAAGACCAGAUAUUGCCUUUGCGGUUGGCCUUGUAAGCCGGUUCAUGCAGGAACCAAGGAAGCCACAUCUAGAAGCGGCAAAGAAGAUAUUAAAAUAUGUGAAGACAACUCUUGGCAUGGGACUGAUGUACAAGUAUAAUGCCAAGGUUUCUCUUCAUGGUUUCACAGAUGCUGACUUUGGUGGAGAUUUAGAUGAUCGAAAAUCAACUUCGGGUUUUGUGUUCUUAUGUGGAGACACAAGCAUUUCAUGGUGCAGUAAGAAGCAAGCAACGGUGUCAUUGUCUACUACCGAAGCAGAGUAUAAAGCUUCAACACUCGCAGCCCAAGAAUGUAUAUGGCUUCGAAGACUCCUUGAAGACUUGUUCAAACCAAUCAAUAAAUCGAUUACCAUCUAUGGAGAUAACCAAAGUGCUAUCAAGCUGGCCAAUAAUCCAGUGUUCCAUGGAAGAACAAAGCACAUUGAAUUGGAACAUCAUUUCAUAAGAGAGAAGGUGCUUGAUGGAACAAUUGAAGCAUUGGAGGUUCGAAGCGAGGACAACAUUGCUGAUAUCUUCACCAAGUCAUUACCUAAAGGUCAGUUCGAGAUACUCCGCUCCAAGCUCGGAAUGGUGGACAAAAUCAAGUUUAAGGGGGAGUAUUGAAGUUAAACUUGAUUUUGGGCUAUGCUUAAUUAUGGACCAAUAAACUCUUAUUGGACUAAACCCAAAAUUAAGCUUAAAUUCUAGAAUCUUUCUAGAAUUAUCAUCACCUCCUCAAAUAGAAAAAUAUCUAGAUAUUGUAGUAGAAAAAUCUAGAGAAUAAAGAAAAAUCUAGGAAGUAAGGAGGUUGUAAUAGAACCAUCUAGAUAUUUGUAAUAGAGUUUAGGAGGCUAUAAAUACCUCUUCAUCCUCUCAUUUGUAACAACACAAGAAGUUGAACAAGUAAAGUAGAAGAAAGUUUUCUUAAAAAAAGGGUGUUCUACUCAAAGUUCUCUAAAUCUUUUUGAGAGUUCUUCCAUAUUAUUCUUCAUACUUGGAAGUUUUCUUGUUUCUUUCGGGUUCUCGGGUAUUACGGUCUUGGGCUAGUGCUAAGCACUAUCAAGAGUGGUUUCUUUACACUGAGGAGACCGAUGGAUUGGAGAACAUAUACCCAGCUAACAGAGUUAGAAUAAUUUGCACGAUUUUUUUUUGUCAACAAUAAUUUGCACUAUCUAUUGUGGGCAUUAUUGGUUUUGGUACUAAUGCUUUGUAUGAAAUGAGUUACAUGUACCCAAUCAACUGUUAUAUGUAUCGUUCAUAUGUUGCUUUAUAAAACAAUCGUUAACAUGCUAGAUUAGUUUAAAAAAAUCCAUACAUACAUCUAACAAAUACGUUAUAUACUUAUACCAUACUGGCAAUAUUGUUAUACAACAUAGUCAUCGCUAAAAUAUUUUCAUUCUUUGAAAAAAAAAAAUUGGGAAUAUCCCAAACCUAUAAAAAGACCUAAACUAAUUUUCAGAGGAACGUCGCGGUCCACGAACGGAUUCACACUCCAAAUUUUCAAAUGAAACCUAAAACAUGGUUUCAUGUCCAUGUGGUUAAUUACAAAUUUAAGCGUAGUGGGAUGCUUUCAAACAGUCUCCAGACUAUUGCAGCCCAUCUUAUGAUCCAACAAGAAGUCUUAAUGAGCAUGUAACUAGGGUUUCUUAACUAUGUAUAUGUCCUUAGAUGUGUUGAUGAAUGUAACCUUGGCUGCCAUAAUUGAAGCCUCUUUCAAUCUCAUUUAUAAAUCAAAUACAAUUUUGUUUAUCUUGGUGACAAACUUAAAGCUCUUUCCUUUAGUUUCUUUGUUUAUGAAUAAAGCUUUACAAGCUAUUUCUAUCUUUCAGUAAAGCUCUUAUGAGCUCAAUCUUUCUAGUUUCAUAAAUGUUAUCAUGGUAUUAGAGCUUCAGUCGGUUCAUGGGUAUUCUUCUUCUUUCAGAACUUCUGCUAAACUUAUCAAGUCAGCUUCGUUGCCACUUUCAAUGGAGUUUGGUUCCUGAACUCGAAAUCCAAAGAAAGGAGGAGAUUUUUAUCCGUUUUUCAAGCUCUCCUUCCUCACAUACGGUUCAUGGGAUUGUUCUGUUCAUCUUCAAGCCUUAGUUUACUCUGUCUGAGCAACUCCAGUCCUGUUUUUGAAGUCUUUUUGGCAGUGACGAAGUCAGAGAAGAGACACGCUUUGGUAAAGAAAAGUUGGUGUAUUGGUGAGGCUGGCCAAGCUGUUUGAAGAGGAUAAUGACUUUUCAAACAGAACUAGUGAUUUCUCCAAGUCACAUGUCAUGUUUCUUCUCAUGAUGGAUAGGAAAUAGAGAGUUCAGGUUUAGGCUGUUGUAGGAUGGAUUUCUCUUUGGUUGUGAAAUAGCUUAGUCCAAUUAGGAGGAUAACAAAAAAAUCCCCAAUUUGUUGUGAGACAAAUAGGUCAAAAGAACCUGAAGAUGUUCUCAUACUUAUGUCGACUCUCCAAGCUGAAUAGUCAUCUACCUACUUUCUAUAGACCUUCAACUACUUAUGCUCCUUUCAAAGCCAGCUCUAUCUGCAUCUUCAAAGUUAGAUCAUCUGCUUGAUUCACCACCAGAUGCCAAGUUUACGGGAGGAAAUUGAAGCCCACACUGAAGCCCAUCUUAUGAUACAACAAGAAGUCUUAAUGAGCAUGUAACUAGGGUUUCUUAGCUAUAUAUAUGUCGUUAGAUGUGUUGAUGAAUGUAACUUUGGCUGCCAUAUUUGCAGCCUCUUUCAAUCUCAUUUUAUGAAUCAAUUACAAUCUUGUUUAUCUUGGUGACAAUCUAAAGUUCUUUCCUUUAAUUUCUUUGUUUAAGAAUAAAGCUUUAUAAGCUAUUUCUAUCUUUCAAUAAAGCUCUUAUGAACUCAUUUUUUCUAGUUUCAUAAAUGUAAUCAUAGACUACCACCUCGUGAUUUUUAAAGUCAUUUUUUAUACAUCAAUAUUUAAGCCUCGCAAAAUAAAAUGUGUGAAUAAGAAUGAUCAUGCAGCUCUACGGUAAACAAAAUGCUAUGAAUUGUAGGUAAAAUAUGUUUACACCCUUAUGGGCAUACUUAGCAUCGCCAAAAGACAUUUUAUAACUUUUUUUUUUGCAUUUUAGUCCUUACAAUUAUAUAUCACAUUUAUGAUUCUUAAAUAUUUUGUCGUUAUCGUUUUAAUCCUUAUAAAAUCCACACUCACAAAUGUUUCAAAUUUGUUUUUGUAAAUUUAACUUCUACACAUAAAAUUAAAUAAACCUUUAAAAGAUUUAAAAUAUUUUAAAACUGGAUUUACACAACAACAAUAUUACAAAAAAAACUUAUCAAAUUCACUAGUUGAUCAUAUAUGAGAGUAUUACGAAAAUAGUUUUAUGGAAUAGUGUGAUAUUUUAUUUGUAAUUUAGUAUUAGUUAUGUAGUACUCGCAAACUUGAAAAUGGAAUAUCUUUUUGAGAUGUUCUUACAAUAUCAAAGUAGCACAAAUGAGAGAGAAGAGAGAUAUUGCAAAGUUAAAUUUAUGUUCUAUAUUUCUUAAAUAAGAUAUGAUACAACAAAAUAGUGUCUCAUUUGUAAGAUAAACUUGAAUUAUAUAAUAUGGUUGUAUAAUAUAAUAUAAAUUUAAAACUUAGUUUAUGCAAUAUAUUAUAAAAUUUAUAAAAAUAUAUAUCUGUUUUAUUUUAUUUUUAAAUGCUUUAUGUAAGAAAUAUAUAUAUUUAUAUAUAAAAUAUAAAACUGGAUAAUUUUUUUGAUUAUAAUUAACGAAAAAUAUAUUUUUAUGAUAAACAAAAAUACUACUACACAUAAGUAGAUACAGAGAUGUAGUGACCAUUAAUAUAUACUAGAUCCGUUCCACUAAUAUAGAUAUUUUAGAAAAAUAAUUUGGUUCAUAAAAAACAUGUUUACGUUUUGUAGAGGAAAAUUUUAAAAUUCAAAAAGAAAUUGAAUUUAUUGAAUUACUAUUGAUUAAAAGUUAUUAAAAAUUGAAUUAUAAAAGUAACAUUUAUAAUAAUGAUCUAAUGUGUUCUAUUAAUAUCUGUUAAAACACUAAAAAUAUAUAUGUUUAAAGAAUGAAAUAUCUUACACGAUAUAUUUUACCCACUUAGUAUAUUUUUAAAUAAUAUAAUUACAAAAGAUACAUUUAUAAUAGUGUUAUAAGAUAAACAUUGAAAAGUCGAUGAUUAUCCACUUCACCGACUUCAUUAGACCGACUUUUUAUAUUUUGUAUUUUCCCAAGUGCUAUAAAUACUACGUGAAAGUUCAAAACAGAAGGAUAAAUAGUAACAUUUCACUUUAUACUAGAAACAAAUAGAAAAUAUAUUAGUCUCUUUCAAAUAAAAUAAUAAAUACACAACUCUCUUUCUCCUUUUACGUUUCCAAACAACGAGAAAAUAUAAAGUGGUCUCAUUCACUAUCUCUCUAUUUUGUCAACAUCAUCCUUAAGCAAAUAUAAUAAAUAGAAAAUAUCAGUUCAGACUCACCUAGUUAUUCACAACACGUUAUCAGAACAAGCUCUAUAUACUAGUGAGAUUUAUCAAUCGGAAAAUUCUUAUACCAAUCGAGGUAAUGUUUAAAUUUAUGUCUUUAAUUUAAUUUAUUCAAAUUUUAUUAUUGUUCCGGAGUAAGAGGCUAGACCUUCUCCGUUUAUUUUUCGGGAUGAUAGGCGCUGCAUUUCCCGACUGAUCGUUAUGGUAGACUAUGCCUUCACGAUCAGAGAAGCACGUGGUAGACUUUGCCUCCGUGAAAAAAAAAGAAAAGCUCAAAAAUUGCAGACUAAGUCUCUUCGGGCCUUGAAUAAAAAGAAAACGUUAAUAUGGUAGACUAUGUCUCCUCAAACCUUGAUAAAAUGAUCAAUAUGGUAGUCUAUGACUUCUCGGAUCAUGUAGUAGGCUAAGCCUCCCGAUUUAAUAAUGCUAUUUAAAUUUCUGAAAUUUAAUUUAUGCAUUUACUUUUUGCUUUUAUUUUAUGCCUUUAAUUUCUGCAUUUAAAUUCUCAUCUUUACUAUAUUUAUAUAUUAUUCUAUGAAUAUAGUUAUCAUGUCCAAUUUGACAAAGCUCGAAAUAAAUGCCCUGUAUAUUACGGAAAAUAAUUAUAUAACCUGGGCAGUGGGUGCAAAGAUGCACCUGAGAGGAAACGGACUUUGGAAACCAUCGAUAGUUCGGAAACGGUGUCGGAUGAGAAAAAGGCAAAAGCCAUGAUAUUUUUACAUGAUGGUUUAAAAUAUGAAUAUAUUACGAAAGAGGAUCCUUGGGACCUCUGUAAAUCUUUAAAAGAGAGAUUCGAUCACCAGAAAUAUGUGAUCUUACCGAAAGCUAAACAUGAGUGGAUCCAUCUCCGGUUCCAGGAUUACAAAAGUGUUAGUGAGUAUAAUUCCGCGUUGUUCAGAAUUACAUCUAGGAUGAUGUUAUGUGGAGAGAAAAUAAGUGAUUAUGAUAUGAUCGAGAAAACCGUCUCCACGUUCAAUCCUGAAAAAAUGUAGUCAUGCAGUAAUAGUACCGGGUGAAUGGAUAUACCCGUUACUCGGAGUUGAUGCAUGUCCUCCUUGUGGCGGAGCAAAAUAAUCAACUCGUGACUUUAAACCAUCAAGCUCGUCUCACUGGAUCUGCUCCAUUCCCCGAACCGAAUGUUGCAUCAUCCAGUUAUGAUAAUUGGAGAGGACGAGGUUGUGGACAUGGUGGAAACCGUUAUCAUGGUCGUGGAAGAGGACGAGGAAGAAGAUUAUGUCCUUGUGAUGAAAGAAAUAAUACAAACUUCCACGAAAAUGAAAGGAAUGAAAGGGGCCGGGAUGAUAAGAGGCAAACAGAAAAGGUUUGCUACAAAUGCGGCAUGAAAGUUCAUUGGGUAUGUGGUUGUCGUACGCCAAAACAGUUAGCUGAUCUGUAUAGAGAAUCCCAAAAGGGAAAAGAAAAAGGAAGAGGUAAAACAAACUUCAUCUCUGGUGAAUGUGGGAACCGAAAUUCGCAUUGUCGAUUUCCUUUUAAAUAAGGAAAGUAGGAGAACCCUAAUUUCCCAGAGGUCUCGGAUAUCUGCUAAUACCACACGCCAAGCAAUCAGAACACGAAAUAAAGACGAUAAAAGAUAAGAAAUCGAAAAGAGAGCAAAGUAGAUCUUAUUCCGAAUUCGCGUUUGAGCGUUACAACAAGGUAAGAGUCUGGGCUACGAGAGCUGUCGGCGAGAUUCCUAGUUCUAAAACCCUAAAGCUACUAAACCUAAUUGAGUCGCAGCUCGAUUAACAAAAAUGGAAAAUUACCUAAAUUGCUCUAAGUGAUAAAUUUGCUGUGUAUCGCGAAUCCCCUUUGCCUUUCACCUAGGACUCCUUAUAUACUUGCUCCUAGGUCGGUUUGUGCCUUUCCCUUUCUGCCCUUAAGCUGUCAUAGCUCAAAAAUGGAGAUAUUCCAAUUUUCCUGAUCUUCGUGAUUAUCUUUGGAAACUUGACAUUUAUUUUGCCUUACGAACCAAGCAUAAACCAUCAUAAGGCUUAUGGGUUUUCAGUUAAGAAAUCGUAAGUGGGCUUCGAGUUGCGUUUUAGGUCUCUUUGGGCCGUCUUUGACUCGAAACGUUUAUUACGGUUUCUUCGAUAAAAACAAACUUCCCGCGGUUUUUAUCAUAAAGUUUGACUGAUGACUUCGAGUGAUGAGAAACAAAGAAUUGUUUAGCCAUGGCCUACGGGAGAUAGCAUUAAAUAGUAGACGAGAAUGCAUGGAUUCGUGUCGUAUCGACGUUUUGGGAAAAUUUGGUCUCUACGUAGCGACCGAGCUUGGCUUGAGCUCGGUCGCUACAUAGCGACCGAGCUUGGCUUGUGCGUGGUCCGAUGGCCAUACUUGAGCUUGUCCGUGGCCGAUUUGGAUACGUGUCUGUUGCCUUCGGACAAUUGGUAUUUAGUGGUUCGAUUGAGAUUAGAACGAGAUUUUACCGCAAGCCUCUUUGUAAAGAUUCUUUUUACGAAGAAAAACUUUCGUAAAAAAAAAAUGUUCACGCUGAUUUUUACGGAGAUUUGGACAUUAACUUCGUUGUAUCCGUUUUUGACCUCAACAAUGAACCUGAGCCAUCCUUUCAUGGGUUAAAUGAUGAUACUCAUCUCGACGUAUCAGACUUUCUGAUUGAGCCAGAGAGUAUCGAUGAGUGAUAUAGAUCGAUGUGAUGUAAGUUUACUGUAUUAUGCUAUCUAUAUCUUUUGUUGUAAGAUAUAUGAUAUGUUUCAUGUUUAAUAAUAUAUAUUUUAUAUUCAGAAAAAUGCCAAACUUUGAGACUAUGGAUGGAGAUAUUUGUUUUGCAGAUAGUGCAACAAAUCACGCGAUAAUUAAAGAUAAGAAAUUUUUCUCCAAUCUCAAAAUGAAAGAUUACACUGGAAGCAUAAGUACAAUAUCUGGUAAUGCAAAGAUUAUUAUGAGCUCUGGAAGAGUGAAAUUUUAAUGCCAGAGGGAACGAUAUUUGAAAUAAGUGAUGCAUUGUAUUCCCUCGAGUCUCAUAGAAACUUAUUAAGUUUUAAGGAUAUCCGAAGAAAUGGAUAUCAUAUUGAGACUAUGAGUAAAGAUGGCAUUGAAUUUCUUUGCAUUAAGUCUGAGAGUAAACAUAUAUUGGAAGAGUUAAGAAUGUUAUUCUCUGGACUAUAUUGUACGAAAUAAACAUGACUGAGUCCUAUGUCGUGGUAAACAUGAAGUUUACUGAUACAUUUAAAAUCUGGCAUGAAAGGCUAGGACAUCCUGGUUCAAUCAUGAUUAGAAAGAUAGUGCAAAAUUCGAAUGGCGAUCCGUUGAAAAACGGAAAAAUUUUGCAAACGGGUGAGUUUACAUGUAAUGGAUGUUCUCAAGGAAAACUUAUAACUCGGCCAUCACCAGCAAAAGUAGGCAAUGAAUCACCAAUGUUUUUAGGAAGAAUACAUGGUGAUAUAUGUGGGCGGAUCUACCCACCGUGCGGGCCGUUAAAGUAUUUCAUGGUAUUGAUUGACACAUCUAGUAGAUGGUCAAGUAUGUGUCUUUUGACGACACGAAAUACAGCUUUCACUAAGUUCAUUGCCCAUAUAAUAAAGCUGAGCAGAGUAUGCCAUUAAGAAAGUAAGGCUUGAUAAUGCUGGUGAAUUUAUAUCGCAAGCCUUUGAUGAUUAUUGUAUGUCAAAUGGGGAUUGAUGUAGAGCAUCCAGUUCCCCAUGUGCAUACACAAAAUGGCAUGGCCGAGUCAUUGAUAAACGGUUGCAGUUGAUUGCAAGACCGUUAGUUUUGAGAACAAAGCUCCCAAUUUAUGUAUGGGGUCAUGCUAUAUUGCAUGCGGCUGCACUGAUUCGGUUAAGACCGAGUGCAUAUCAUAGGUACUCCCCAUUACAAUUGGCAUCUGCGCAAGAGCAAGUUGUAUCCUAUCUUCGUGUCUUUGGGUGUGCGGUCUAUGUUCUGAUAGCUCCGCCACAAAGAAAAAAAAUGAGCCCACAAAGGAGAUUGGGAAUAUAUGUGGGUUAUAUGUCACCAAGUAUAAUAAGAUAUCUGGAACCGGUAACUCGUGAUAUGUUUACGGCACGGUUUUCCGAUUGCCAUUUUAAUGAAGAUGAAUUUCUAGUGUUAUGGGGAGGAAUUAGAUAAAUUCCUAAAGAGAUUACAUGGUGUACACCGUCGUUGUUACACCUUGGUCCCCCUACGAAUCAAAGAGAGCUGGAAGUUCAAAAAAUUGUGUAUUUGCAUAAUUUGGUAAACCAAUUACCAGAUGCGUUCACAGAUACAAAAGAGGUGACGAAGUCAUAUAUACCCGCUGAAAAUAUUCCAUCAAGAGUUGAUGUUCCUAAAGAACAAAAUGAAUGAACCUAGGGUUCAGUUAAAGAGAGGGGGGCUAGGGGGUUCUAAAGAUAAAAAUUCCAGGAAGAGAAAAAAAUGGAUGAGCAAAAAAGUAAGGUUCCAGAAGAACCUGAUAUUAAAAGAUGUCAGAAAGAAAACGUAAAUGGAAAAGUUCCAGAAGAACCUGUUACUGAAAAAUGUCUGAAAGAAGGCAUAAAUAAAGAUGAUCCAGAUGACGAAAAGGGAACAUAAGAGUAUGAGAUUUCCAUCAACUACGCCCAAGAUGAAACGUUAUGGAUCAGAAAUAAGAUAAAAGAUGUUGAUGGAAUGUUCUCAUUUUCUGUGUCCAAAGAGAUCGAUCAUAAAAAUGAUGAUCCCGAUCCAAGAUCCAUUUUGGAAUGUCAGAAAAGACAUGAUUGGGAGGAGUGGAAGAAGACCAUUCAAAUUGAAUUACUCUCCCUGAAUAAAAGAAAUGUCUUUCGACCUAUAGUCAUAACACCUGAGAAUGUAAAUCUGGUUGGGUACAAGUGUGUAUUCGUGAGAAAAGUAAAUGAGAAAAAUGAAGUAGCACGAUAUAAAGCCCGAUUAGUUUCCCAAGGUUUUUCUCAGAGACCGGGAAUUGAUUUUGAGGAAACGUAUUCCCCGGUAAUGGAUGCAAUUACGUUUAUAUUUUUGAUGAGCCUAAUUGCAUCUAAAAAUCUUUAAAUGCAUCUCAUGGACAUUGUGACUGCAUAUUCGAUAUCGAAAUAUAUACGAAACUCUCUGAGGGAUUGAAAAUGCCCGGAGCAUUGAAAGAAAAAUCCAGGGAUAUUUUUUUGGUUAAGUUACAGCAAUCACUUUACAGAUUAAAGCAAUCCGGGCGCAUGUGGUACAAUCGCUUAAGUGAAUAUCUUUUGAGUAAAGGAUAUGUGAAUAAUGCGAUAUGUCCAUGCAUUUUUAUUAAGAAAUCGUCAUCUGGCUUUGUGAUCAAUGUUGCAUUUGUAGAUGACCUGAAUAUAUUUGGGACUCAAAAAGAGGUUGACGAUGCUCGAACUCAUAUGAAAGAGGAGUUCAAAAUGAAAGAUCUCGGCAAGACAAAGUUUUGUCUUGGGCUCCAGAUAGAGAAUCUCCGAGAAGGAAUAUUUGUGCAUCAAUCAAACUAUACGAAAAGGUUAUUGAAACGCUUUUAUAUGGAUAAAGCGACUCCUUUGAGUACUCCAAUGAUAGUUAGAUCUCUCGAUGUUGAGAGAGAUCCUUUAGGCCCUGUGAAGAUAGCAAGAAGAUAUUAGGUCCUGAAGUACCUUAUAUGAGUGGUAUCGGUGGGUUUUUGUAUCUUGCAAACUGUACCAGACUGAUAUUGCUUUGCUACGAACCUACUAGCAAGAUAUAGUUCUGCUCCUACUCGCGGGCAUUGAGACGAAAUAAAGCAUGUAUUAUGUUACCUCCAAGGUACAGUUGAUUUAGGGUUAAUGUAUUUUAGAAAACCCGAGUUUGGUAUGGUUGGUUUUGCAGAUGCAUGAUACUUAUCAGAUCCUCAUAAAGCUCGAUCGCAAACCGGCUAUGUUUUUACGAUUGGUGGAACCGCGAUCUCUUGGCUUUCCUAAAAACAAACUCUGGUUGCGACUUCUUCAAAUCAUGCUGAAACUAUUGCGCUUCAUGAAGCAUGUCGAGAAUGUGUGGCUUAGGUUAAUGAGUCAACACAUACAAGAAUCAAGCGGAAUAGUCAACGAAAAAGAUCCGACGAAAAUAUUUAAAGACAAUUUGGCGUGUGUCGCUCAACUUAAAGAAGGCUAUAUCAAGAGCGACAGAACAAAGCACAUUCCUCCAAGAUUUUUCUUAUGCGUAUGAGAACUCGAGAAAAACCAAGAAGUGGACAUUGAGUAUGUACGGUCAUGCGACAAUCUGGCUGACUUGUUCACAAAAGCUCCUCUGACUACAAUAUUCCGAAAACGCGUCUAUGGUAUCAGAAUGUGGUAUUUGCGUGACAUGUGAUGAGAAAGCUAUGUAUACUAUUCUCAAGGGGAGAUUACGGCAGUGUACUCUUUUUCCAUUGUCAUGAUUUUUACCCCAAUGAGGUUUUCUAUGACUAGGUUUUUAACGAGGCACUACAUAAUACAAAAAGAAUGAUCAAGGAGGAGUGUUAUAAGAUAAACAUUGAAAAGUCAAUGAUUAUCCACUUCACGGACUUUAUUAAACCGACUUUCUAUAUUUUAUAUUUUCUCAAGUACUAUAAAUAGUACGUGAAAGGUCAAAGAAGAAGGAUGAAUAAUAACCUUUCACUUUAUACUACUCUCUCUUUCUCCCUUAUGUUUUGUUACAAGAAACAAAUAGAAAAUAUGUUAGUUUCUUUCAAAUAAAAUAAUAAAUACACAACUCCCUCUUUCUUUUUACGGCUUUGAAUGACAUGCAUAUUAAGGCUUUGAAUGGAAUGAAGAUCAAAGAAACGCAGAUUAAACAGAAAAUGCAGAUCAAGCAGAACAAAUGCAAAUUAUUUGAUAUAUUAAAUGUACUUUUGAAAUGAAAUGUUAUUUGAUAUAAAAGUAAAAUAAUCAAAUUAAAUAAAUAUAUUUAAUGGCAGCACGAAAAAAAAAUUAAUCUUGGCCCUGAGCAUGUUUUUGGUGUCUUUCCUUUCUCUCAUGCAGAUCAUUAAAUCAAUGACUAAAUUUAUUCUGCAAGCAGAUUAUUUUUUAUUUUAUGAUUUUCUUUUGUUCUGCAUUUAAAAAGUUGAAUGAAAAAAAAUUACAGUUCAAUCUGCAUUGGUAAAUGGUCUGCAUAUGUACUCCAUUUGGACUGUGUUACAUUCAUAGCCUAAAAUGCAGAACACUUAUUUUGCAGAUUGGAUUGCAUUUGUUUUUCAUUCACCUUUUUUAAAUGCGGAUCAUUUAUUACAAAGAGAUUUAUUGAUCUCCAAAAAAUAAAGAAAAGAGGUGAGAGAAAUGCAAAUGACUAAUCAUGUAGUUUUAUUUUGUUUUCUCCUUAUUAUUUUUAUAAAUAAUUUAUUUAUCCGAUUUCAUUAAUUUUCAAACAAAGCACCAAAUCUUUCCUAAAUAUUAUUAAUAUUUUAUAUCAUUUACGCUUUAUAUUAUAAUUUUUUUAAAAUUAUUUAUAAAAUUAAUAUAUUAAAUAUGUAUUGUAUUAUUUAUAUCUGAUUUGACAUAAAAUGGGUUAGAAAAUGAAAUAUUUUUAGUGUACAUAUUAUAGUUUAUUAUAUUUUUUGCAAUAAACUGUAAUGCAUAGUUUGCAUCAUCUAAUAUAUAUAUAAUUUCACUAUAGAAUCAUAUAUUAUAUUUAUUUCAUUUAGAAAAUCUCUACAAAAUAAUGAUUUAGCAUUUCAUUUCGUAUUUUAUGUAUCAUUUAUUUUAGAUGAAUUUAUUUAUAAUAAGUGAUAUACAUAUAUAUAACUGUAUCCUUUAAAAAAUAUAUUAGUAAAAAUCAUGUAUAAUAUUUUAAAAGUUAUUAAUAUUUUUAUAUAAAUUAGUCUUGGGAAUUUUUUUAAACCCCAAAAAUAAAACCAGAACAUAGCCGAAAAAUGAAACUGAAACUAGACCAAAAUUUACAAAAACAUGAACGGGUACUAUUUUUUUAAAUCUAAAAAAUAAAAAUGAAUCGAAAUUGAAUAUAUACCCAAAUAUCCAAAAUAUAAUAAAAUACUAAUUACUUAUAAUUUUAAAAUAGCUAUGAUAUAUAAUUUAUGGAUAAAACAUUAUUCAACACAUCCGAGUUACUUAAAUAUUUUCAGGUUUUUAGGGUUUUAACUUGGAUUUUCGUAGGUUUUACAUUUUUGUUUUUUUUUUGCUUUAAACUUGAAAUAAAUCAGAACCUUUUUUAAUUCGAUAUAUUUUGGGUUUUACUAAAAAAACUAACUUGCACCCGACAUUAAUUAUUCGAACUGAUUCUUUCUAGACAUUUUUUGGUUUCUAAAUGGAUCCUAAGAAUUCUAACCCGAAUAAGUAGACCUGUUCAGAACCGUAUACGCAAAUGUCCAACACUAUUUCAAUUAAUAAUGAUGAUUGGAUAAAUUAGUCGAACUGCAUUUGUUCUGCGUAUUUAUUUGAUCUGCAUAUGUUCUGCUUGAUCUGCAUUAUCUGUUGAUCUGCAUAUUUUGAACUGCGUCUCUCAUCCCAAGUGUACGUUUCCAAACAACAAGAAAAUAUAGGGUCUAAAUGAAGAGUAGGAGAAAAUUAGGAGAAAUGCAGAAGAAAUAAAAAUGCAGGAAAGACUGCAAUUAAUCCUCAUUCAUCAAUUAAAAACAGAACAAAAAAAACUAAUAAAAUAAAGACGUACUGCAUGCACCUAAUUAAUAGAGAAAACGGCUAAAAAAGCCUGAACUUUCAAAUUUAAGCCAAAAAUACCUUGAACUUGUAUUUAAGCCAAAAAAUACCUCAAUUUUCAAAUAAUGGCCAUUUUAAAUUUCAUAUUUUUUGACCGAGCUAAAUUAGAAACCCGAAAUAGUCAACAGUUAAAUAUAUAAACGUCUAUUAAGUCCUAAAAAAAUUGUUUUAAAAUUGAUCCAAAAUAGUGAAACUGCGUAGUUUUGCAUCUCUUCUAUUUUUUUUAUAUCAUUCGUCUUCUCUUCACGACAAAAAAAAAACAGAUCCCCCAAAUUAAAAACCUUAAUUCUCUAAUCUAUAAUCGCUCAAGUCUCGUUCUAUGUCUCUCGUGCAACAAAGUUUUAGAAUGUUGUGAACUUGAGCAGGCAAUGGAUUGAGAAUUUGAUGAAGCGGGAGAAUCGUAAAGAGGUUUGGAUCGUUGUGCUUUAUGCACCUUGGUGCCCGUUAUGUCAAGUGAUGGAAGCUUCGUUUGUUGAAUUGGCGGAUAAGUUGAGUGGAAGUAGCGUGAAGGUUGCCACUUGCCAAGUUUAGAGCUGAUGGAGACCAAAAGGAGUUUUCUAAAAGGGAGUUGCAGCUUGGGAGGUUCCCAAUGAUACUUGUGUUCCCAAAGAACUCUUCAAGACCAAUCAAGUAUCCAUCAGAGAAGAGAGAUGUUGAAAGCUAGAAUGACGUUGAAGAAAGAGCUUUAGAUUCUCUAUUGAAAGUUUUUGACUUUUGUAUAGUUGUGGUGUACCCAAACCUUAUCCUUUUGUAAAACUUUUGGCUUUGUGAUGAUAUGAGCAACUUUUCAAACAUCGAUCACUCUGAUAUGGAUUGAUUCAAUAUUCCAAUUUGAAAAUGCAAAAGAAGGUAAAAGAAAAGGUUUCUGAAGAUUAUAAACCCAAUUGUCAAAGAUUCAAAACAUGAAAAGCAGAGCAAAGUAAAAGCCAGAGAGAACAAGGAAGGAAUGUACAUCUUAUCUUCCUCCUUUAUCUAUUUAUAUUCAUGGUAAAGAUGAAAAAAUAUAAAUUCAAGCAACAAUGAAGGUGUUCUCUCUGCUGUAGGUCAUGUAGAGGAACCCAUCUUCAUCUUUGUGAUCCUCAUAGAUUGCAGACAUCAAUGCAUCUAUAAAAUAAAUAAACAAAAAAAGGACCAGUGAGAUCAAGACAUUGAAUGAAACUUGGUUUUGUCUAAUAUGUAUCUCUAAGAAGAUAGAACGAAUACAAAACAGAGAGAUCAUACAUUGUAUUAUCGUAAAGACAAAACAGAGAGAUCAUACUUGUCAAUAUCACAAUUGCGAGGGUUGAGAUGACUCUUGAAAGAGUCCUUGUGGUUGAGAGUAUUCUCCCUACAACAUUUAAUCACAGUUAAUCAUAACAAUAAGAUAAACAACUUGAUAAAAUAAUACACAUGAAACACACGUACCAAAUCCUUUCUUGGUCGGCCUCUUAGCCUUUUUGGAGCACUCUCAACUGUGUCAUUAGGACAAGUCACCUUGUUGUUACCUUCAACAUGACAAUUUGAGCAUGUGAUGACUCUCCUGUCUCGUGUCAUCUUGGUAGCCUUGGAUGAAGUUUCAUGAAGCCCUUUCUUCCUAUCAUAAUUACUUGGUCUUCCACGUUUCCCUACUCUAAAUGGUGGUGGUAAAACUCCUAACCUAUUUAACCGAGGCCAUAACUUCAUACCUAGGACAGGUAUAAUCCCACGGGAAUAUGUUUGUCGCCACUUUUGGGCUGUGUAAUAGCCAGCAACAUAAUCUUCUAUCCUAAUCUUCUUGGCUCUAAUAACACAAGCGGCAUGGAUACAAGGGAUUCCAGUGAGCUGCCAUUUUAUACACCCACAUGUUUUGAGAUCCAUGUCUACACGAUAAGAAACACUAUGGUCAUCAAUCUCAUGCACGUUUCCACAAGCUAUAUGCCUUCUCAAAUCUUUAGCUUUCUCUUUGUUGAGUUCAAUCUCAGUGUGCACCUUCUUAGUAAAAUGUGUUUUCAACCUAUUUGCAAGAAUAGCUCUUUUUGCAUUACGAACCAUACAUUGCCUCCUAAUAUCCUCUAGCAUGUCAAGUAAUGGUUUUUUCCUUGCUUCCCUAAUGGUUUUAUUGAAAGAUUCACAGAGGUUGUUGAGGUUAUCAUUGCAAAACGACCCAACUCUAAAGAAUGCCUUACUCCAUGUUUUCGGGUUCUGUAGUUGAAGAGUAUCCCACGCACCUCUGUUAUAUUUCUUCAGUACCUCUAAAGCAUCUUCGAACUCUCCUAUGGUGUAGCAACCAGCUAUUAUCCAAAACAUACGCUCUAACUCAGGAUCCUUGCUGUAUCUUUUCCAGUUUGACAAUAUGUGUCUUGCACACAUUCGAUGUUCUGCUUCUAGUAGUUCAUUUUUAACAGCAUUCACUAAGCCCUGCAUAAAUUAUUAAGUAGAUAUUCAAUACAUUUUUAUUAAGAAAACAAAAUAAACUAACCUUCUAACCUUUUGUUUGUCUGAAAUGAUGGUGAAUUUGGAGCCAUCUUGUAGUCCCAAAUCUUCAUUUAACAAUCUAACAAACCACUCCCAGUUUAUGUUAUUUUCGACCUCCACUACAGCCCAAGCAAUUGGAACUAUUCUAUUGUCCCCAUCUCUUCCAACAGCAGCCAAUAAGUGUCCUUUUAUAUCCCAUUUGAGAAAUGCUCCAUCUAAACCAAUGAUGGGUCUACAAGUUUCAAUCCAUGUCUCUCUUUGAGCUGUAAAACACAUGUAUAGGCGCUCAAAUCUCUGUUUGCUCCCUACCACAGGCCCUGGAACAGUGUCAAUUUUUAUAGUUGAGUACGUAUUAGAUUUUAGGACCUCAGCUUGAUAGUCCCAAAUCCGAGAAAAGUGAGCUUCAUGGCUGGCUUUCCUUUCUCUGUAAAGCUUAGACUUCGCUUUUCCACACUGCUCCUCAGUGACAGUGAGAUUAUAUUCUCUCUGUAUCUCAUCCACCAUCUCUGUCCUAGUAAAUUUAGGAUUUAUUCUUAGUCUUUCCUCAAAGAGAAUGGCAAUAGAAGAAGUCUUCAACAUCUUCGAGUAUCCUGAUCUAAUGCAACAAUGCUCAUUCACAAAUACCUUCACUUGCAUCUUAUGUCUUCUUCUUUCAUAUGAACAAUAAAUUCUCCAAGGACACUUACACUCUACAUCAGAGCAUUUUGCACCCAGCGCCUUAGCACAAGACUUAUAGAGCUUGAUAUCAUACCUUGAUCGAAGAGAAUACCUAAGCAAAGCAACUUUAAAAUCAGACGCACAUCCGUACGUUUUCCCCAAAUACAGAAGCUCAUCACAACCAAGUGUAUUUGCAACCUCUUCUCUACGCUCAAACUCCUCUUCAUCGUCAUCAGAUGACAAUGGGUCUGGGAUUUUAUCAUCAUCCCAAAUCUCAUCACCACUGUCUCAGUCACUCACAUCACCCUCGUUUUGUGCAUCAUCUCCAAAGUGAGCGCUUAAAUCCUCUACAACUUCUUCUUCGAUACCAAUACCAUUCUGAUCAGCCUCAUUAUCACCUUCUUUGUACUUGAUUCUAUUGCUCAUUAGGUUCUUCUCUAGGUUCCCUAACAGUUUCUCUUUCUGGUCCCUCAGUACGACGAGCCUGAAGUAAUCCCAUCGUCCGAGCCAUCCUCUACGUCGUCAAUGUCUCUGGAUUUCAGAGAUUAAAGGAUUGAGAGAUUAGAGAACAAGAGAUUAGAGAAUUAGAGAAUUAGGUUUUUUUUUAGUUUUGGGUUCUGUUUUUUCUUUGUCGUGAAAGAGGAGAAGAAGAGAUGAAAAAAAAUGGAAGAUAUGCAAAACGACGUAGUUUCAUUAAUUUUGAAUCAAUUUUUAAAACGAUUAACAGACGUUUAUGGAUUUAACUGUUGACUAUUCCGGAUUUCUAAUUUGGCCCAGUCAACAAAAUAUGAGAUUUAAAAUGACCAUUACUUAAAAAUUAGAGUAUUUUUUUGACUCAAAUACAAGUUUGAGAUUUGUUUGGCUUAUAUUUGAAAGUUUAGGGUUUUUUUGGUCGUUUUCUCCUAAUUAAUGAGUUACUUUUUUGUCCAGCAGGUUAAGAGGAGCAGGAGGGAGUCAGGUGACCAAUGGAUCUGUAGCAUUUUUUUUUCUUUUUUUUCUUUUCUUUUUUGGUCUAUUAUCCGUAAAUGAUAUAAUAAUUUAUUUCUUUUGAUUAAAAUAAGUUAAAAUCUAUAUUUGGUAAUAUACUAAGUAAAAAAUUCACUUGUUCUCUAAAAAUAUAUUAUAACAUAUGCAUGUAUUUUCAUAUUCUAUUUAAUUAAUUUUCUAUUUUAAUGAAAGCAGUAUUUUUAUAUUAUGUUUAAUUAAUUCUUUUAUAUUUUUAAUUGAUUCAUAUAUCUACAUUAACUAAAACCAAUUCAAAAAACAAAACUACGCUUUUAGUUAAAAAAAUUUCAGCACGAUUUUAGUUAGGUUUUCAAUGAAUUUUUUAAAAAAAAUUAAUUUAUAUUUAAUAAUACUUAGUAAAUCGGAUCAUUCAGACAAACUUUAAUAUUUUGGAUUAAAACUAUUCAAGUUAUUCGGUUUUUAGUAUAAUUUAGAUAAUGUAAAAUACUUUAGAUUAAAAAAAAUAUUCGAGUAUUUCAAUUUUUUGUAUAGUUCGGUGUAUAAGUAGUAUGUUUAGAAUAUUUGGUAUUUCUAAUACUAAAUAUAAUUAAUAUUUUUAGAUAUAUAAAUUGUAUUUUGGAUAUUCGGGUAUCAUUCGGAUUUUAAUUCGGUUUCGUUUUUUCGACUAAACAAAUAUAGGAACCAUUUGGUUAUUUUUUAAUUUUGGUUUCGGGUUCGGUUUUUUUGGUUUGAUUCCAGUUCGGUUUUCUGUUCUCGGUUUUUAUGCCCAUGCUUAAUUAAUUCUAUAGUUGAACCAAAUGAUAAGAAAUAACCGAAAGUCAAAUAAAAAUACAAAAAAUAAGAGCAAAACAAGAAUACACUUUUUAAUUUUUGUAAUUGUGAUAAAUUUUCAUACAAUUUACAAUUUCACUAUAUUUAUUAGAAUGAUGAUAUUUAUUGUUAUUUUUGUCAAUAUUAUAUUUCUUACUUAGUUAUAAUAAAUUGUAUUUUUGAGAUAUUUUAUUUUUAUUAAAAAAUUCAACAUGUAUUUAAUUACGAUAAUUUUUUAAAUUAGUUUGAUCUACAUUUGUUCUGCUUGAUCUGCAUUUGUUCGGCUUGAUCGCAUUUUUGUUCGGUUUGCAUUACCCAUUGGAAGCCAUAAAGUGAUCUCAUUCACUAUUUCUUUCUUUCGUCAACAUCAUUCUUGUACAAAUAUAAUAAAUAGAAAAUAUCAGUUCAGCCUCGCCUGGUUAUUUACAACAAAUAGUGAUUUAUGUACAUAUUUUUUUUAGUCAUAAAUCAAAUUUCUCUUGAGAAUUGCUAUACCGCUAGAAGAAGAAAAAUCACCAAUGCUGGCUUUUACAGCUGUCUCACCAACUGUUGAAUCUAUCCCGUAGACUAUAUUUGCGAAGUGAUUUUGCCACAUGUACUAUGUACAAUCAAUUUCACAAAACAAAUAUUACAUGACUACUGAAAUUGAUAAUAUGUCUUAUAGCUUAAUAUGACAUGGACAAUUGCAUUUAAUGUUAAUUUAUAUUUUUGGUAAACUUUUUAUAAAAUAUGGUAAUAACUCAUAUAUUACAUUUAAUGUCAAUUUAUAUUUUUGGAAUUUUUUUUAGAAUAUGAGAAUAACUAAUAAAUCAUCAUUAAAAUAAAUAUAUUCAAAUAUGGCAUUAUAAAUUUCGAAAUAUAAUUUAAUUAUAUAUUUUUAAAUUAUACAAUUUUAUUACUAAACUUUUCAAAAAUGUAUACAAUUUUAUUAUAAAAUUAUAAAAAUUUAAUCGUAAAAUUAUUAUUUUCUUAUAUAUCUACAAAUUUUAUAAAUAUUGUUCAAUUUUAAUUUUUGGUAAUUAUGCAACUUUUACAAAUUUAUUUAAUAUAUUUAAUUAAAAUAAAUAGAUAGAAAAAUCUAUCUAAGAUUAUAAUUUCAAAUAUAUACAUGCAUAUUCUUAAAUAUAAUUUUUAUGUUUAAUUAAAUCAAAUUUAUAUUAAAAUAUUGAUACGAAAAAGAAAAUUUACAAUAUUAAUAAAAUUUUAUUUUAAAAUAUAAUUUAUAUUUAUCAGUUAAAAAUAUUUUAAAUUUUUUUAUUGCACAUGGUGCAUGAAGACACCUAGUAUCCCAUAUAUAAAUGGGAAACUAGGCCAAAUAACAAAAAAAAAAAAAAAAAAACUAGAUUAUACUCACAAACGCAAAUUCACUUACUUUUCUCGGUAAAUUUUUUUUUUUUUAAGCAAUAGGUGCGCUUUUAAUCUCUUUUAUUAACGGACGCUAUUUAUGCAAGUCUUUCGUCUGUCAACGCGAAAGCUUGGCUUCACUCGUCGGCACCUCAUCACUGAGAAGAGCUAAGCAGAAAUCUCGAGAGAAACAAGCAAAAUAAACUUCAAACAGGUAAAUAAAAAUGCUCUCUUUCUAGAUCGUUUCCAGCUCUGAAAACUCAUCUCUUGAAGAAAGAUCCCUUCUGGGUUUUCCAAUUUCAGUUUCAAAUUCAUUUGGGUUUCCAUGUCCAAUGCUAAAGUUACAAUCUUGUUUUUCCUUUUAUAUUCCAAUCUAGAGUUUGUAGCAGUGCCUUAAGUUUCAAAUUUUGCUGUUUAAACAAAUAAAAAUCUAAACUUUAUAAUCAGUUUCUCCUUAAUGAAAUUCGAGUUGUAUCAUGAUGUCAAGUUUUACCAUUUUAAUAUGAUUUAAAUGUAUAUUUAAAUAGAUAGUAUGAUACUAAUGUUUCAGAAAUUUCAAAAGUGAUGAUGAUGGCUUCUUCUAAGAACACUCCGCCAGUGAAUAAUCGGACAAGAAUAUCUAUAACCAUUGUCACUGGUUUGUGUUGUUUCUUCUAUCUUCUUGGAGCAUGGCAACGUAAUGGGUUUGGUAAAGGAGGAGGUGUUAUAACACUGGAAGCAGUAACAAAGCAAGCUCAAUGUACAAAUACAACAGACAUUGUAACCAAUCUCGACUUUGAACCUCACCAUAAGACAAUAAAGAUCCCUCAAAGAGCUAACCCUAAGCCCAUCAUGUUCAAGCCCUGUGAUGUGAAGUACAAAGACUACACGCCUUGCCAUGAACAAAAAAGGGCAAUGAGAUUCCCAAGGGAGAACAUGGUUUACAGAGAGAGACAUUGCCCACCGGAGAAUGAGAAGCUGCGUUGUCUAAUACCUGCUCCUAAAGGGUAUACGACUCCUUUCCCUUGGCCUAAAAGCCGUGACUACGUUCACUACGCCAAUGUUCCUUUCAAGACCUUGACGGUUGCAAAAGCUGGACAGAACUGGGUGAAGUUUCAAGGGGGUGUGUUUAAGUUCCCUGGAGGAGGAACUAUGUUUCCUCAAGGCGCUGAUGCUUAUAUCGAAACGCUAGCUAAAGUAAUCCCUAUCAAAGAUGGAUCAGUUAGAACUGCGUUGGACACAGGAUGUGGGGUGAGUUUAGUUUCAUUUACACAAGCUCUCAAGGCUUUUGUUGAUAAAGCGUUUUAUUGUUUGUUCUAUUUUGCAUCUUAGGUUGCAAGCUGGGGUGCAUAUAUGCUUAAGAAGAAUGUACUGACUAUGUCGUUUGCGCCACGGGAUGUCCAUGAAGCUCAAGUACAGUUUGCUCUGGAGAGAGGUGUUCCGGCAAUCAUCGGUGUUCUCGGGUCAAUACGUCUUCCAUACCCACCAAGAGCCUUUGAUAUGGCUCACUGCUCUCGAUGUUUGAUACCGUGGACCUCAAAUGGUGAUACUAUUGAUUGAAACUCUUAAAACGGCUAAAAUGCCGCUCUAUAUUGUUGAUUUGUCUUUUUUUUUUGUGCAGAGGGAAUGUACUUAAUGGAAGUGGAUAGAGUCUUGAGACCGGGAGGUUACUGGGUCUUAUCCGGGCCUCCAAUCAACUGGAAGACAUACUACAAGACGUGGAAGCGGUCUAAGAAAGAACUCAAAGCUGAGCAAAAGAGAAUAGAGGAGAUAGCAGAGUCCUUAUGCUGGGAGAAGAAGUAUGAGAAAGGAGACAUUGCAAUCUGGAGAAAGAAAACUAAUGACAGAUCAUGCAAUAAGUCCUCAUCAUCAUCAUCUGUUAAAACCUGCAAAGGACAAGACACUGAUGAUGUCUGGAACAAGACAAUGGAAGUAUGUGUAACUCCAUUCCCCAAAGUAUCAAGCGAUGUAGAAGUAAUGAAGUUUCCUGAGAGGCUAUUCUCAGUCCCUCCGCGUGUAACCAAAGGUUUGGUGGAGGGUGUGAACGUUGAAUCAUAUCAAGAAGAUAACAAACUGUGGAGGAAACGAGUGAGUAACUACAAGAGAAUCAAUAGACUGAUAGGUAGCACUAGAUACCGUAAUGUGAUGGAUAUGAAUGCUGGACUUGGUGGAUUUGCGGCUGCGCUUGAAUCUACUGAAUCUUGGGUUAUGAAUGUUGUUCCAACCAUUGCAAAGAACACUUUAAGUGUUGUCUUUGAAAGGGGUCUCAUCGGCAUCUACCAUGACUGGUAAUGACAAAAAAAACUCAAAGCGGUUUGAUCAUUCAACACCAAAUCUUGAUGAUAUUCGCUUUAUAAAUGUGCAGGUGUGAAGGGUUUUCGACUUAUCCGAGGACAUAUGAUCUCAUCCACGCAAACAAUGUCUUCAGCUUGUAUCAGAACAGGUUAGUUCUGUUGUCAUAAAUCUACGAACUUUCAGGCAUAACUGUUGACACUUCAUUAUGUAGAUGCAAUGUUGAAGACAUUCUGCUUGAAAUGGAUCGGAUUUUGAGGCCGGAAGGAACGGUAUUAUUCAGAGACGAGGUUGAUGUUCUAAACGAUGUAAGAAAGAUCGCAAACGGAAUGAAAUGGGACACUAAGUUGAUGGAUCACGAGGAUGGUCCACUCGUGCCGGAGAAGAUUCUCGUCGCCGUUAAGAAGUAUUGGGUCGCCGGUGACGGUGUUAGCGUAGGGAACAGUACUUCGACGUUUAAGUAGUGAAGAACUGAAGAAUAAGAAACUACUGAGGUUAAACGAGUUUUCGAAAAUGUCCCAUAAUUUUAGAUGUUUACUUGUUUUAACCACCAAGUUUUGAUUAGGUUUAAGUAAACCCCGUUGAUCUUGGUGUUUUUUAUUGAGAAAUUUGCUCUCCUACCAAAGAACUAUCCUAUAAUUAACAAUAUACCAAAACUCUAUAUUUUGAUACUGUUGGUAAUUAAUCGUGACUCUGCUGCCUCUAUAUAUCUCCUAUGAACACUACUAUUUGACAUACACAAAAUCUUGUUAAAAGAUUUUUGAAGAUUUGGUUCUUGUACUCAUAUCUUGCUUUAAUGUCAGAUCAAACAUAGUUCUAUCCUCUACCUCUUCGAAUAUUGUCAAACAAUUUGAAAAUGGAAAUUAUUUUCUCUCUCCAUUAAUCCACAACAUUUUUGUUAUUAAAUCAUGUAUCUUUUCGUCUUUCUCUGUUCUGAUUUCUAUUUACACCCUAUUUUGAAGACGUUGAGAGUAUUGUUUACCAAAUAUAGUUCUUUGGCGUGAGCUUAAAACAUUUCUUUUCUCAGUAGGAAGCUCGUGCUUUUGAUAUUAUUAUUUCUAGAUGAAGAGAAGUUCAAGGAGAAACAAAAUUAUUUCUAGAUGAAGAAAAGUUCAUUGGAGUUACGUUUUCCGGUUCUAAUGUAAAUCACUGUAACCUAGUUUAAGUUCUUACGCUAGCUAUAUAUUGUAAGGUAGUUUACCUCUAAUAAGAAUCAUAUUCCAUAAUCUUCAAAGAUAAGCCGAGGAACCUACAACAUCUCUAUUUAAAUUUAUUACCAGCUAGCAAAAUUUUUAGCUGUAAUUUUUUUUUAAAUGGAUAGUCAGAAAAAUUAUUGUACCAUAACAGUGAAUUCCGGAUAAUUGAAAGUUAGAUUUCUCAUUAUUGUUAACAUGCUAUCAAACAAGUUACACAUCCAACUACAAGGAGUUUCGAUUUAUGGCUAAAACUAUAAUGUAGGGGUAUCAUAAUUUAUAGCUAAUAUUAUUAUUGACAUGUUCAUUAAUUGUGUUAGCCAUCCAAAAAGUGUGUUAACUAUCCACGAGGAAAACUGGACAUUUGAUAAUUGACUUAUAUUUCUUCUCCAUUUAUCAGGUCUUAAUUAGGCUUAAGGAAAUUGUAUAUAAGGUUUAGUUUAUCAUAAUAUAGUGUCAAGGGUUUAUGAUCAAUGGUUCAGGGUCUAAGGUGUUGAUGUUGGGUUAUAUGGUAUUGAUUUAGGGUUUAGGGUAUUUUUUGAGGGUUUAUUGUAUUUUUUAGGGCUUAGGCUUUAUGAUUUCAUUAGGGUUUAUGAUUUAUCUGUAUGAUUUAAUGUUUUGUAUUAUAGUGGUAAGAGGUUAUAAUCAAUUGUUUAGGGUCUAAGCUGUUGCUAUUGGGUUUAAGGUUUAUAGUAUUGAUUUAGGGUUUAGCUUGGUUUAGGGUUUAGAUUUUAGGGUUUAGGGUUUAUAUUUGGUAAGGGUUCAGAGUUUAUGAUUUGUUUACGAUAUAGGGCUUAAAGAUUUUGUGAUUGUAAAACAGCAAAACUUCUACAUAUUAAGUUAAUUUGUUACAUACACAGUUACAAUGAAGUUUAACCAUGCAAAACAAGCCUUAACCACACUAAAAUUUCAGAUAACAAUCUUCUCAAACCCAAGAAAACAACGGCGUCCGAACACUAUCAACCGUUACAAAAGGUUUAGCCUUUCAAAAACAAACUGAACCCGAGUUAUAUCUUACAAUAACCGUCUUCCAUGAUCCGAAAACAUAGGCGAUAAACAUGGGUGGAUUGGCAUUAGUAGACGGCUGUAGUUUGGAAGUUCUUCAGUCCAAUCCCUACAAAUAAUAAGAAAUAGAAAUGUAAUGAACAUAUGUUACAAUAUCUAAGCUUAUUUAGGAAAAUAAUGCAUAACAAUAUUUUCCUUCUAAAUGUAUAUUUACAUGGAUAUCUUUUUUAUUAACUGUCCAAUUGUAUUACUUAGAUAAUACAUACCAAUCGCACCCGCCACAGACACUACUAAUUAUCAUUCGCCAUGUAUGUAAUGCAACCCCAAUCACCAAUAGAUAUACAUAGGUAAAUUGCUAAAACUAUUGUCCAACUAAUAUAUGUUGUAGUUGGUCUAACAAAAUUGUUAUCUGGCUACUAUUAUAUUUACACAUCCAACUAAAUAUUUAACACUAGCGAAAAGGAUUACCUUCUUGGCUUUGUUCUUAACUGUCCCCCCUCCCCCACAUCGUUUCCCCUUCCAAAGUUUUGAUUGAUAGUUCUAGCUCGGUGAUUUAAUAUUUGUAUGGUUUCAAUUUCUCGAUUAUGUUUGUUGGGACAAGAUUAUGAUGGUGAAACAUAUCUUCUUGGGUUUGUACAUUCAUUAGGAUGAUGAAGAAAAUCUUGACGAUGAAGAUUGAGAUAAAAAAAAGGAAGAAGACGAUGACAGAGAAAGGUAGGAGGACGAUGAUUGUUUAUGAAAAAAAAUUAUUUUCUUUUGUUGUAUGUUUAAAAUAUAAAAUAAUCUUUAAAAGAUUAUCAAAUCUAGUAAAAUCUUAAAGAAAUCUUGUAGGAUAUAUUGUGUCAGAUGUGUCAGUUACUAUGCCUACCUCUCUUCUAUCCGAAAGUCGCCAAGCUACAAGGUUAUUUUCGUCUUUCUCAAACUGUUUAUUGUGACACGUAUGCAUAACUUUUUAUGUGUGGAUACUUAGCUAAUUUAGUCAUUUUUUUUUGUUUUUUACCCAAUUAGCUCUUUUUUAUUUAACUUUUCUUUUUAGACUAGAACUAUUGUAAAGUACCAAUUAUACAUUAGAAUUACAAGUUUAUACAAUUUAGACCCUGUAUUUACAAAUUUUCAGAUUUUUACGUAAUGCUCAGGUUUCGAAGCUGUUAAAGUGUGAAGGAAUCAGACAUUCAGGGCUUUAAUUAGAAAUUACAUCAGUAUAGAGUGUACACUUUCUUUUGUUAAAAAGGUAAACUAUAGUAGAAUAUUUAUAUUUUGUAAACUAAUAUUUCUGAUAAAUUAAGAAAAUUUUAAUUUUAGUUACAAAUAUAUCUCCAAUUUAAUUAAUUUAAUAAGUUAAUAUUUUCUUAAAAUUAAUAAACUAUCAUGGUUGUACUUGUAAUAAUGCUAAUCUAUAGAUUUUAAUAAAUUAAUGAUUUGCACCGCAUCCGAUAAAAUCAAAUCCCACCAUCGUUGUUACCUCCAGAGGGAAGAAAAAUCUCUCAACUUCAGCAAUCAUCUUCCAUUUUCUUUUUUUCCAUCCAAAGUUCUGAUCUUUGUGGAGAAAACUAAAAAAAAGAGAGAAAAUGGGUUGCUUGCAUUCCAAAACAGCUAAUAUACCUUCUUCUGAUGAUCCAUCAGCUCCAGAAAAAAAAGAAUCAGGUACUCAUCUCUCAGAUUCAAUGAACUUUUAGUAAGUAAAUUUGCAUUCUUUUUUUGAGUAAUGGGUUUGUUCUAAUUUGUGGGUUUUAAUUUUUUUAAGACUUAAAGCAAAACAAAAGUUGGAAAGUUUCAACUUUCAAUCUUUUCGAAUUUGAACUCAUGUUUUUUAGAUUAAUUAGGUGUCUUCCUGCAGUAAAAAAAUUUAAAAUAUUUUUUAGUCAAAAAUUUCCAAAAAUAUAAAUUGACAUUAAAUGUAAUAUAUGAGUUAUUACCAUAUUUUAAAAAGUUUACCAAAAAUAUAAAUUAACAUUAAAUGCAAUUAUCCAUAUCAUAUUAAGGUAUAAGACAUGUCAUCAAUUUCAGUAGUCAUGUUAUAUUUGUUUUGUGAAAUUGAUUGUAUAAAGAACACGUGGCAAAAUCACUUCGCAAAUAUAAUUUAGGAAAUGAUUGUAUAAAAGACAUGUGACAAAAUCACUUCGUUUUUCACCGCUAUAUUUUGGGCCUAGUUGCCUUUCUUUUAGCAAAUAAUGGGAAUACUGUUUUUGUGUUGACAUUGGUUGACUUGUGAAAUGAGGUGGAAGCAACCGGUGUUGGGAAGCUUACGAACAAGAGAAUAGUCAGUUUGAUUUGAUUAUUUCUCUUACAAGAUCCCUUUUAUAAUAUUCUUUAGAUGUUUACUCUCUCCUUUAUGUUUGUUUGCAAGGGAAAAGCAGCGGCGUCCAUGGGAAUGCGUGUUCUUUUAGACCAUAUUGCACAAGCACUUGAUCUGCAACAAUGAAAACCGUAAGAUUUAUCAUGACCAUAAUAAGCAUUAGGCUCGAUCAUCAUAUCAUGAAUUUUUUUUAUAUAUUACUGAUUCAAAUAAUUUUUAAAGUUUUGGAAAUAUAACUUUUCAUCGUAUUUUGUAUAUUGAACAAUGUAUAUAUGUUGUAUGUAUUACACACAGCAUAAUAAAACUACAUAUAUCUUCGUAAUAAUUGAUAAUUUGAUAUAUGUCAUAGCUUCAUAGAAACAAAUUAAAAUGAGCAAUUCCUAAAGCUAAAACUUACAUAAUAAAUAUAAUCUUUUCCAAAAAGAAGCACUUGCUGACGGAAGCAAGCAUUUGAUUAUAAAUAAGUGAUGUGCAAUCGAAUAAAAUUACAUUACAAAAAAAAUACUUUUAUCCUUUACAGAACAAAAACAAUGAGAUAAGACCAUGAUUAUCGGUAAUCCUUAAUGGGUUUCUUAGUGUUUUAAGGAUAUUUAAUUAAAUCAAAAUAAAGGAAAAGAUAGAUUAUCGAUCCUUAAUGGGUGACUUUUGUAACCAAUUAUUAGGGAGUUUUUCAACCCACGUGUCACCAUUUUAGGCAAAGUAUAUUUUUUGUUCUAUUUUCUUUUCACCAAAAUCAUAUUUCUUUUCUCUUCUUCAUCUCUGUGUUUCUCUUCGUGUUCUCCAUCACGACUGAGAAAUGAUCGAUACCGAUCGAAACCACCAACAAUCCUCCACCACCGAUCCUCCGUCUUCGCUCUCGUCUUCUCCUCUUCUCCGUGACAGAGGAAGCAUCGAAACCCACCACCGAUCGAGUUUCCUCAAAAAGGACGAUGACUCUCUCUCCUCGCGGCGUCUCCUCGGUCGUAAGUGAUGUUUCAGUUUCUCUUCUUCACAAGCAAAACCAAAACAGUUCGGUUCUGUUUUUGCUCUUGACGUAAUCUACUGAUUUUGCAUUAAUACCGAAUCAAUCUCUCUCGUUUCAUCAUUUAGUUUCCAAGGAAAGAAGAAAAGAAAAGUUUUUUGUUAGUUUUGCAUUCUGACUUGGAUCAACGAUCCUUUAGCUUUUACUCUUUCUGUGUUUACUGGUUAUAUAUGUGUAUACUUUGUUUUAAUGAUCGUUUUCAAUUCAACAGGACGACAAGGAACAUCUUUAUGUAUUGGCUUCGUCUCUACCAGAUAUAAUGGUAACAAACUAACUCUUUUGUAGUCAUGUUCUUUAAGUUCAUCUCGAGAGGGAAGUGUGAGUCUUUUAAGUGAUGUUUUAGUCUUCUUGUGUUGAUAAUUUUGACAGGGUUGAGGGCGAUGUGAACAAGCCGACAGGGUUGAGGUCGACAGUCAACCACUUCUUGAGUCUCGGUAAGUUUGCAAGAAUUGAUAUCAGUUUCAAUUUUUUUUUUCUUAAUUGAUUUAGUGUGGAUAGUAGUUAGGUUAAUAAAUGCUUGUUAGGUUGUGGUUAGCGAAUAUUCGUGUGAUGAAUGGUUGUGAUGUAUGGUUGUGAUGAAUGCUUGUCUGCUUAGGUAAUAAAUAAGUUAGAUACAUAUCUUUCUCAUCUCUAUUCAACUCAACUCAACUCAAAGAUCCUAUUAAAACCGUAUGCUUUCUUUCUUUCUUUUCAUCUUCUUACACAAUCUCUUUCUCUCUUUCUUCAAACACAUUGCUUCUGCUUUCUCUUUUCUCUUUCAUUCUAGUAUAUGGAUUCUACGGAUCCAAAUACUCAACCCUCCAAUUUUGUUGAUCUGUUGAACAGUCAACAAGACACUCCCUUUCCUUAUGCGAGUUUUUCACUCGAUGGGGAUAUCGGAUCAUCACAACUCCCUCUGUUCAGUACUCAAGCAACUGCAACGUCUAGCUUCUGUGAAGUCUCUCCUACACAGCGCAAAGAAAGAAAGAAAUGGAGUCUCUCGGAUGAUCUAGUGUUCAUUAGCACUUGGUUAAACACCAGCAAGGACCCUGUUGUGGGCAAUGAGCAGAAAGCAGGAGCUUUCUAGAAACGCAUUGCAGAUUACUAUGGAGCUAGUCCAAAGGUGAAAAGAGGUGAUAAGCGAGAGCCCAUUCAGUGUAAGCAAAGGUGGCAGAAACUGAACGAUCUUGUUUGCAAGUUUUGUGGAUGCUAUGCGGCUGCAACAAGACAGAAAACAAGUGGUCAGAAUGAGGCUGAUACUGUUAAACUGGCACAAGAAAUCUUCUACAACGAUCAUAAGAUCAAAUUCAACCUUCACCAUGCGUGGGAGGAGUUGAGGAACGACCAGAAAUGGUGUGAAGCUGCUCAAAAAAAAAAAAAAAAAAAACAUACCAUCUGAAUCUUUCCCUGUUUCGUAUAUUGGCACAUUUGACCACAAUUAGCAAACAUUCUCCCCAAUUGAUCUUGUAAAUUAUUAACUUUAAAAUAAUGGUGGGAUGUGGGAGUAAUGGCCUUAAACGGGUUUCCUAAAACUACGUCGUUCUCAUCUUCUUCUUCUUAUUCUUCUUAGCUCAAGUCGAGAUUUUCUGAUUCUCACCUAAAAGAAACUCUAAAGCGUAACUUCUUCUCAGCUGUUCUUGUCGUGAUAUAAAGGUACGAAUUCGAAUUGAAUUUAGGCAUUAUAUUUUUAUCUUUCGUGUCUUAGUUGAUGAUAUUGUGACUCUCUGAACAGUGUCAAGAUUAUAAUUGUAUAACAGGUGUCUUCCUACAGUAAAAAAAAUUUAAAAUAUAUUUAACAGAUAAAUAGAAAUUAUAUUUUAAAAUAAAAUUUUAUUAAUAUUGUAAAUUUUAUUUUUCGUAUCAAUAUUUUAAUAUAAAUUUGAUUUAAUUAAACAUAAAAAUUAUAUUUAAGAAUAUGCAUGUAUAUAUUUGAAAUUAUAAUCUUAAAUAGAUUUUUCUAUCUAUUUAUUUUAAUUAAAAUAAUGAUUUUACGAUUAAAUUUUUAUAAUUUUCUAAAAAAAUUGUAUAUAUUUUUGAAAAUUUUAAUGAUAAAAUUGUAUAAUUUAAAAAUAUAUAAUUAAAUUUCGAAAUUAUAAUACAGUAUUUUAAUAUAUUUAUUUUAAUGAUGAUUUAUGAGUUAUUCUCAUAUUCUAAAAAAUUUCCAAAAAUAUAAAUUGACAUUAAAUGUAAUAUAUGAGUUAUUACCAUAUUUUAAAAAGUUUACCAAAAAUAUAAAUUAACAUUAAAUGCAAUUAUCCAUAUCAUAUUAAGGUAUAAGACAUGUCAUCAAUUUCAGUAGUCAUGUUAUAUUUGUUUUGUGAAAUUGAUUGUAUAAAGAACACGUGGCAAAAUCACUUCGCAAAUAUAAUUUAGGAAAUGAUUGUAUAAAAGACAUGUGACAAAAUCACUUCGUUUUUCACCGCUAUAUUUUGGGCCUAGUUGCCUUUCUUUUAGCAAAUAAUGGGAAUACUGUUUUUGUGUUGACAUUGGUUGACUUGUGAAAUGAGGUGGAAGCAACCGGUGUUGGGAAGCUUACGAACAAGAGAAUAGUCAGUUUGAUUUGAUUAUUUCUCUUACAAGAUCCCUUUUAUAAUAUUCUUUAGAUGUUUACUCUCUCCUUUAUGUUUGUUUGCAAGGGAAAAGCAGCGGCGUCCAUGGGAAUGCGUGUUCUUUUAGACCAUAUUGCACAAGCACUUGAUCUGCAACAAUGAAAACCGUAAGAUUUAUCAUGACCAUAAUAAGCAUUAGGCUCGAUCAUCAUAUCAUGAAUUUUUUUUAUAUAUUACUGAUUCAAAUAAUUUUUAAAGUUUUGGAAAUAUAACUUUUCAUCGUAUUUUGUAUAUUGAACAAUGUAUAUAUGUUGUAUGUAUUACACACAGCAUAAUAAAACUACAUAUAUCUUCGUAAUAAUUGAUAAUUUGAUAUAUGUCAUAGCUUCAUAGAAACAAAUUAAAAUGAGCAAUUCCUAAAGCUAAAACUUACAUAAUAAAUAUAAUCUUUUCCAAAAAGAAGCACUUGCUGACGGAAGCAAGCAUUUGAUUAUAAAUAAGUGAUGUGCAAUCGAAUAAAAUUACAUUACAAAAAAAAUACUUUUAUCCUUUACAGAACAAAAACAAUGAGAUAAGACCAUGAUUAUCGGUAAUCCUUAAUGGGUUUCUUAGUGUUUUAAGGAUAUUUAAUUAAAUCAAAAUAAAGGAAAAGAUAGAUUAUCGAUCCUUAAUGGGUGACUUUUGUAACCAAUUAUUAGGGAGUUUUUCAACCCACGUGUCACCAUUUUAGGCAAAGUAUAUUUUUUGUUCUAUUUUCUUUUCACCAAAAUCAUAUUUCUUUUCUCUUCUUCAUCUCUGUGUUUCUCUUCGUGUUCUCCAUCACGACUGAGAAAUGAUCGAUACCGAUCGAAACCACCAACAAUCCUCCACCACCGAUCCUCCGUCUUCGCUCUCGUCUUCUCCUCUUCUCCGUGACAGAGGAAGCAUCGAAACCCACCACCGAUCGAGUUUCCUCAAAAAGGACGAUGACUCUCUCUCCUCGCGGCGUCUCCUCGGUCGUAAGUGAUGUUUCAGUUUCUCUUCUUCACAAGCAAAACCAAAACAGUUCGGUUCUGUUUUUGCUCUUGACGUAAUCUACUGAUUUUGCAUUAAUACCGAAUCAAUCUCUCUCGUUUCAUCAUUUAGUUUCCAAGGAAAGAAGAAAAGAAAAGUUUUUUGUUAGUUUUGCAUUCUGACUUGGAUCAACGAUCCUUUAGCUUUUACUCUUUCUGUGUUUACUGGUUAUAUAUGUGUAUACUUUGUUUUAAUGAUCGUUUUCAAUUCAACAGGACGACAAGGAACAUCUUUAUGUAUUGGCUUCGUCUCUACCAGAUAUAAUGGUAACAAACUAACUCUUUUGUAGUCAUGUUCUUUAAGUUCAUCUCGAGAGGGAAGUGUGAGUCUUUUAAGUGAUGUUUUAGUCUUCUUGUGUUGAUAAUUUUGACAGGGUUGAGGGCGAUGUGAACAAGCCGACAGGGUUGAGGUCGACAGUCAACCACUUCUUGAGUCUCGGUAAGUUUGCAAGAAUUGAUAUCAGUUUCAAUUUUUUUUUUCUUAAUUGAUUUAGUGUGGAUAGUAGUUAGGUUAAUAAAUGCUUGUUAGGUUGUGGUUAGCGAAUAUUCGUGUGAUGAAUGGUUGUGAUGUAUGGUUGUGAUGAAUGCUUGUCUGCUUAGGUAAUAAAUAAGUUAGAUACAUAUCUUUCUCAUCUCUAUUCAACUCAACUCAACUCAAAGAUCCUAUUAAAACCGUAUGCUUUCUUUCUUUCUUUUCAUCUUCUUACACAAUCUCUUUCUCUCUUUCUUCAAACACAUUGCUUCUGCUUUCUCUUUUCUCUUUCAUUCUAGUAUAUGGAUUCUACGGAUCCAAAUACUCAACCCUCCAAUUUUGUUGAUCUGUUGAACAGUCAACAAGACACUCCCUUUCCUUAUGCGAGUUUUUCACUCGAUGGGGAUAUCGGAUCAUCACAACUCCCUCUGUUCAGUACUCAAGCAACUGCAACGUCUAGCUUCUGUGAAGUCUCUCCUACACAGCGCAAAGAAAGAAAGAAAUGGAGUCUCUCGGAUGAUCUAGUGUUCAUUAGCACUUGGUUAAACACCAGCAAGGACCCUGUUGUGGGCAAUGAGCAGAAAGCAGGAGCUUUCUAGAAACGCAUUGCAGAUUACUAUGGAGCUAGUCCAAAGGUGAAAAGAGGUGAUAAGCGAGAGCCCAUUCAGUGUAAGCAAAGGUGGCAGAAACUGAACGAUCUUGUUUGCAAGUUUUGUGGAUGCUAUGCGGCUGCAACAAGACAGAAAACAAGUGGUCAGAAUGAGGCUGAUACUGUUAAACUGGCACAAGAAAUCUUCUACAACGAUCAUAAGAUCAAAUUCAACCUUCACCAUGCGUGGGAGGAGUUGAGGAACGACCAGAAAUGGUGUGAAGCUGCUUGUAGCAAGAUUGAUGGAACCGGUAAGAAGAGAAAGUGUGAUGGUGGAGCACAAUCAGAAAGCUCUCAAGCAACUUCCUCUCUCGGUGAUCAAGCAUCUCCACGUCCUCAUGGAGUUAAGGCAGCGAAAGGAGCAACUGGAAAGAGAAGUAUACCAGAUCAGGAGGCAGGGAAAGGAGCAGCUCACUUUAAGACCAUGUGGUCUAUUAAGGAGAAAGAUUUGGCCGUUAAAGAGAGACUUAAGAAGAUGGGAUUGCUUGACAGUCUCAUCUCCAAAAAUGAGCCACUUUCUGAAUUUUAAGAUGCUCUAAAGAAGAAUUUAAUUACAGAGAUGUUGAAUCUUUAGUGUGAACUCAUGUUUAAAUCCUAUCUAUGUUUAAUUUCAUCUUCUGUAUGUUUAAUCCUUGACAGUCUCUAUGUUUAAUCCUCUAAUUUCAAGUUUCAUAAUGUAUGUUUCAAGUUUAUGUUAUAUUAUGUGAUCUGUUUUGUUAGCUGUUCUGUUUUAUUAAAAAGUUAUGUGAGCUUUCUGUUUUAUUAAAAAGUUGUUAGCUGUUUCCGUUAGCUGUUUUGUUUAAUGUAUGUUUCAAGUUUUUUAUGUGAGCUUUCUGUUUUAUUAAAAAGUUAUAUGUGAAAUGUUAAGUGAAAUGUUAUAUUUGUUUAUGUGCAGUUAUGAGACAAAGAAGUCAGAAGACUUGGUCUCGGUUAUACGAGCAAGAGAGGUCACGAGAUGGUGUCGUUACUCAAGAGCAGUCACGAGAUUUGAUGUCGGAUUAGCUAGAGAGGUCACGGGAGUUAUUGUAGGAUUUGCAAGAGAGGUCACGAGAUGGUGGUGUAUAUGCGUGCCUGAGAUGGUUUUGUCACGAUAUGGUUUUGUAUGUGUUGUAUGUUUUGUCACGAGAUUGUUUUGUAUAAAGAAGACAAAGAGUGUUUGUGUUUUUUGUGUCACGAGAUGGUGUUUGUCAAACUCAUUGUAUCAAGUCAUCAAAACUCAUAUCUCUCUUGCUCUAUAUAAAUCAUCUCAUUGCUCAUAUCAAGUCAUCAAAACUCAUAUCAAGUCAUCAAAACUCAUAUCCCUCUUUCUCUCUUCUUCUAAUCUCCUUGAUUACCACAAAGCCAAGAUAUUAUUGAUCACCACAAAUCCAAACUCUUCUUCGCAUCACACAAACCCUUUCUUUCUUCUUCUAAUCUCCUUGAUCACCACAAACCCUUUCUACAAAACGUAAAACACAAACCGUACCCUUUCUACAAACCCUUUUUACAAAACACAAACCCUUUCUACAAAACGCAAACACAAACCCUUUUUAAAACAGUCUCAAUUAAGAAUAUAAGUUCUACGGCUUCUUCUUCUCAUAACACUUUUGAGGGAGUAGAUGAUGAAAGUUUUGAUAAUUAUUUUGAUCAAUAUUUUGAUCAAACAAUGGAGAAUUUGGCCAUUAAUUAUGGUGAUCAAGAAGUCGAAAUAAAUAGAAGAAAAAAACGAGUUCAUAUCGAAAGAAAGCGUGAAGAAGGCGAUCUACGUUUAUGGAAUGAUUAUUUCAGUGAAACUCCGACAUAUCCUGAUAAUCUAUUCCGACGACGAUUUAGAAUGAACAAGUCAUUGUUCAUGCGUAUUGUUGAUCGACUUUCCAAUGAAGUUGAAUACUUUCGACAAAAGAAAGAUGCUCUCGGAAGGCUUAGUCUCUCGCCACUUCAGAAGUGUACAGCAGCCAUUCGUGUAUUGGCCUAUGGUUCUGCGGCUGAUGCUGUUGACGAAUACCUUCGACUAGGUGCAACGACAGCUCGGUUAUGUGUGGAACAUUUUGUGGAAGGAAUAAUAUAUUUAUUCGGCGAUGAGUACCUAAGAAGACCAACACCGGCUGAUCUUCAACUUCUACUUUAUAUUGGUGAGCAAUGUGGCUUUCCCGGGAUGAUAGGGAGCAUCGAUUGUAUGCAUUGGGAGUGUUAGAGGCGGUUGCUUCGUAUGAUUUAUGGAUAUGGCAUGCGUUUUUUGGACCUCUAGAAUGAUAUCAAUGUUCUUGAUCGCUCACCUGUUUUUGAUGACAUAAUAAAAGGUCAAGCUCCGCAAGUUACUUUCUCUGUCAAUGGAAGAGAGUAUCAUUUGGCUUACUAUCUCACUGAUGGUAUUUAUCCGAAAUAGGUAACUUUUAUCCAAUCUAUUCCAAUGCCACAAGGUCCGAAAGCGGCUUUAUUUGCUCAACAUCAAGAAGAUGUCCGAAAAGAUGUCGAGCGUGCUUUUGGGGUCUUGCAAGCUCGAUUUGCCAUUGUUAAAAAUCCAGCAUUUUUUUUGGAUAAAGGCAAAAUUGGGAAGAUUAUGAGAGCAUGUAUCAUACUCCAUAAUAUGAUAGUAGAAGACGAACGAGAUGGAUACAUUCAUUUUGAUGUUUCGGAGUUCCAACAAGGAGAAGACACUGGAACUUCACAUGUCGAUCUCACGUAUUCUACAGAUAUCCCUUCAAAUAUCACCAAUAUGAUGGGUGUUCGAACAAGAAUUCAUGAUAGACAAAUGCAUCAACAGCUCAAAGCUGAUUUGGUUGAACAUAUAUGGCAUAAAUUUGGAAGUGAGGGAGACAACUACUGAGCUCGGAUGUUUUUCCAAAUUAUUCUCGAUUAUUGUACUAGUCUUUAUUUUUAUGUUUUUUUUAAAAAAAAAUCUAUGUUUUAGAUAUUAUCUUUUAAUAUGUUUGAAUUAAUAAAUAAUUUUUAUCUUUAAAAAAAAAAUUCUUAAGAACCCCUAAUUAAGAAACUCUCAUUGGACCGCUCCAAAUAGAAGUUUCUUAACUAUGGUUUUUAACCCCCCCUAAAUACAAUUAAAAUAUUAAAUAAUCACUAAGAAACACACUUAAAGAUCAAGUAAACAUGCUCUAAGUGACAUAAAGCAAAACUAGUUCUUCAAAAAGUUCUAGUACAACUCUAGUCACUGCUAUAUGGGAUCUGAGAAUGCAAGACUUCCUAACAAUUGUGAUACCAACCAUCUUAAAAAACAUCAACAUCGCUCUGAAGCAACAAGAUCCAAAUUUUAUUUGGAAGAACUAAUUGAUGUUGGUACUAUCAGACUUUUUUUUUUUUUUCUGUUAUCAAAUUUUCAAGCAUUCAAAUAGAAAACAUUAGAUGUCAAGCUAAAGAAAAAACAAAUGACUGUUAUAAGUUGUUGUAUGGGAUAAAAAUAGCAAUCGAUGUUAAAAGAAUUCCCAAUUUAGUGUUUUUCAAUUGACUUUUUAGCUUUCUCAAGUUUGUUCUACCUUAUUGUCAGAAUAAAAUUAUGAGAACAACAGAUUUAACUGACAUACAAGCAAUAUAUCUAAUAAAUUUUCAUGUUGAUCGAGUAUUUUCGAUAGUCACGUGUAUGUCAUUAAUAUCUGUUGUUCUUAUAAUUUUUCUGCCAAAAAAGAAAAAAGAAAAAAGAAAAACACAAUUGAGAAAGCUAAAAAAACAAUUGAAAAACAUUAAAUUGAGAUUUUUUUUUUUGAUUGCUAUUUUCACCCACUACGACGAACUUGUAACAGUCAUCUUGCUUUUUAUUAGCUUGACAUUGAAUGUUUUCUCUUUGGAUCCUUACGAAUUUGAUACCAAGAGGAAGAUAAAUUUGGGUGCACCAACGGCAGGUAGCUCUUCUCUUCCAAAUUUUUGUAAGAUCAUUGAUAUCAUACUCAUUAGUAAGUUUUGCAUUCUCGUAGUCCCAUAUGGCCGUUACUGGAGUUGAACUGAAACUCUUUGAAGAACCAGUUUUGAUUGAUGUCGCUUUGCUCUUUUAUUUUGUAGAGUAUGGAGGUUUUUUUUGUAACUUAGUUUUAGAGAAAGAUAAAAAUUUAUUUAAUUGCACAUCACUUUAUUUAUAGAGCACAUGUUUGGAAAGAAUUAUGUUAAUUAUAUAAGUUUUAGCUUUAUGAAUUUUUAAUUUGUCUUAUGAAGCUAGGACAAUAACUAUUACGAAUUGUACCCCAAAAAAAUAACUAUUACGAAGAUAGUUGUAGUUUUGCUAAACUGUUGGUAAUACACAAAACAUAUAAUACAAUGUUAUAUAAAAGAUACAAUGAACAGGUCAUUAUAUUUUCAAAGUUAAAAAAAAUAUUUGCAUCCAUAAUGUAUAAAAAAAUGCAUGAUAUGAUGAUCGAGCUUCAUGCUAAUUAGGAACAAGAGAUUUGUCAGUUUGAUUGGUUGUUGCGCGUAAGGAGAUGAGAGAUUGUUGGUAGCAGAGUAUAUGCCCUCUUCUUUCUAUGUUUGUUUGCAGGGAAACGCAGCCACUUCCAUGGAAAAUUCCUGUUUGAAUCGCGGACCCUAUUGCACAAGCACUGCAACAACGAAAAAGAUCUAUGCGUACAUAAUCCUCUUUGACGAGGAAGGUGAUCCUCGUCUAUCUACUUUUGGUCUUAUGGAGAACAGUAGGGAUGGUAAAAGCUAUAGUACACUCCACCUGAGUCUUUACGGACAGGUAACAACAACAUUCUUGACUUGUGAAUCUCACUCCAAGACAAACCAAUUCUUUAUUUGAAGAUCUGCUCUUUUUGCAGGCAGACUCAUUCCUGGAAGGGUGAUCUUCAGUUUAUGGAACUAUGCAUUUAGAUCUUUUAAGCGGAAAACACAUUCCACCUACCUAUGUAUGUGCCGUGCCUCUCACUUAUGCACAGUAUCUUUUUGUCAAUUGGCUUAGCAUUUUCUGUAUGGUUUCUUAUUUAAAUUAGUUUAUGAUGUUCAUAUUUAGGCUCUUGAUAUAAUAAGGGGGAAGAACGCAUUGCUAUUGAUGGAUUCAUCUCUCGGCAAUAUGAGAAUGAUGAUGCGAGUAAACUAGUUGACCUUGCUUCAAAAUGCCUUCAAUCAGAGGCAAAGGAUCGACCUGACACCAAGUUUCUUCUCUCUGCAGUGGCACCACUGCAAAAUUAAGAAGAAAGAGGUUUGGAAAAAAAAAACAUUCCUGAAACUGACAAUAUCUUGAAUAUCAUAUAAUCCAAAAUGUUUAUUUUGGUUUCACUUUUGUUGCUUAUGUUGCAUGUAUUAAUGGGCUUGCUUAAAACUGGUUACAAAGAUGAGGAAGGUGCAGAAAAUGCACCAGACGUUCUUUCUCCUACUUAGUGACAGACCAACAGGAGCUUGCAUUAAGAGAUGCAAUGCAGGCUCAUGUCAGAAUAAAUAAAAAAGGCAAUCCAAGUUUCACAUUGGAUAUUAGACAAAAUAAAGUUUAAUAUAUAUAGCUGGUCCAAUUUCACUUAGUAUGAGACCUUUUGGGAGUAACGACCCAAAAACAAAUCCGUGAGGACUUAAGUCCAAAGCGGACAAUAUCAUACUAAGCGAGGGAUUGGACAUCUGGUGACGGACGUCUGCUCUAGUUGAGCGUCUGGCCUCCAGCACGGGCAUCCGGUCUGGCUCUAGUAGAGCAUCUGGCCCAGGAAUGCAUCUGGUCCGUCACAACAGUUGGUAUCAGAGCCAAGGUUUUGUGGUCCUUGGUUUGAGGGGAGGAUUGUCAGAAUAAAUAAAAAAGGCAAUCCAAGUCCCACAUUGGAUAUUAGACAAAAUAAAAUCUAAUAUAUAUAGCUGGUCCAAUUUCAUUUAGUAUGAGGCCUUUUGGGAGUAACAACCCAAAAACAAAUCCGUGAGGGCUUAGGCCCAAAGUGGACAAUAUCAUACUAAGCGAGGGAUUGGACAUUUGGUGACGGACAUUUUCUCUAGUUGAGCGUCUGGCCUCCAGCACGGACAUCCGGUCUGGCUCUAGUAGAGCAUCUGGCCCAGGAGUGCAUUUGGUCCGUCACAACAGCUCAGGUGUGCAUACCAUAAUUAGCGCUCUCCAAGCUCGGAAUGGAGACAGAUGCUCAAGAUAUGCGCAGUGAUGGCGCAGCCUAUGAUGCCAAGCGACAGAAUAGCCGACGGUCCAAAUAUUUAUUGGUUUUUUCAGACAGUUGCUGAAAUGUAUGUGUAUGCGUGUAAGAGAGUAACUGGAGUGUUUGUUUACUUUUGUGCAUCUUUGAGAAAGUUCAAAUCAUUUGAGGGAAAAAGAGAAAACAAGACUGCAAAUAACUAAUUUGAUUCCUUCUUCCUUGUGAUAAUACAAAAAUAUUGAAACUAUAAAAGAAGAUUCAAUAUGUUAUUACAGUAUAUCGAACCAUUUGGCCCAUGCACGAAUAUCGACUGAUGAGUAUUCAGAACAAGGAUUAUAUAGUUACAAGGUUAUAAGAACUUUACAUUUUUGAUCAAAUUAUAUAAUGUUUUAUUUGUUUCUAAUCUUGAUGAGAAUUCAAUAUGUUUAAUCACAUUGUGUUAUGCCGUGUGGAUAAGAAGAGUGAGCUCAAGACUAAUUCGAAAAGAAAUGUAAAUGAACAAACACUUGGAUCAGGAGAAAGUUCAGGUUAUUCGAGUCUAGUGACUUCACCUAGUUGUGAUGUAACGAUGCCUUUUCACUCAUUUGGCAAUCCGGUUUCUACUGAAAACGACUCUUCCAGCAUUUGGAUUUCACCUGAUUUCAUUCUUGAUUCUUCAAAAGUAUAUACUAUACAAUUCUAUAUUGACCAUAGCUAAACCAUAGCAGGGCUUUGUUUAGCUAAUACCGGUUUGAUUUUCUUUGUAGGACUAUCCUUAAAUGCAAGAUGUUGCAGCUGAGUACUUUCGAGAUAUUGAUUCCCAGGUUAUUGGUAAUAAUAACGUGGGUUUUCCAGCGAGUACGUUGCAUACCAAUGUAGACCAGAACAUGGAUGAAUCUUUGCAAAUUGAUUAUUGGAGAUACUCAAACUUCCCCUAGAUGGACUAAUAUUGAAGUCACUUUUGUAAGACAAAAACGCCUUUUAACGUUUGAGUCUUCAAACCUUUAGCAUUGGUCUAUAUGGUAUGGUUAAUUAGUUGUUCUAUUAUUCUUUCAUUUUAUUACUUUUAUUUUUAUGGUUUUGUUAUAUUAAUCUCUUAUAUACUAAAGGAAAAGUAUUGUAAUAAAUACGUUCACACUAAACUGGACACAUGUCACGUGUAGAAACAUUGUAAUAAAUGUGUUCACACUAAAAUGGAUACAUGUCACAUGCAGAGAGCUUUUCAGACAAACUCUACAUAAAUAUGUUCACACUAUGUACUUUACGUUUUUUAAUAUAAAACUCACAUGCGUGGUUCUUCUUCAUUACGUUAGUUUUACUGUUUACGAAUAGAGCUGGACAAAUUAUUCAUAAAUUUUGAUUUGAUUUGUUAUCCGUUUUGAUUCGAACGGAAAAAUCCGGAUAUCUGUUACUCUACAAAGCAAAUCAAAUACUAAAAUGCAAUAUUCGUAAAAAAAAAUAGAAGCAAAUCACAAAUAUCAAUAUUUAUAGGAACGGAUAUCCAAUUUGAUCUGUAAAAAAAAAGCAAAUAACAAAUAUCAAUAUUUAUAGGAACGGAUAUCCAAUUUGAUCUGUGAUAUGCAUAUAUAUAUAUAUAUAUAUACAUAUAUUUAAAGAAUUAUAUAUAAGUUAUAUAUUAUAGUUUAUAUAAAUUUUAUGAUAUUUUUGUUUUUAAAUAAUUUCAUUUUAAAAUUUUUAUUUUUCAUGUAUUAUUUUGAAAAAAUGUCAUUUAAUAUUAGUUAACAGUAUCUUUAUAUAUUUAUCAACCAUCUUUAUAUACUUUUACGUACACAUACAUGUGCACAUUGACGUGAGCACCUUUUAACUAAAUAUUUACCACAACUGAAAUAUCUAAUUUUUUUUAAAGUUAAAAAAUUCUUUUUAUUAAUGCUUCUUUCACUAUCAACCAAAUUGUAGUAAAAUGAUUUGUCUUAAUAAUUUUUUUUUUUAACUGUUAUCCGUUUAGGAACUAUAAUAUAAAACUAUUGGUUCGACAUCACGACUAUCUAAGAUUCAUAACAUGAAAACAAACAAAUAAUAGUACUUUUUGAUUAUCACAUAAAAAAAACAUCAAACAUUUUAACCAAACAAACCAAAUAAAUACUGAUUUAAAAUGAUAGUUAUAUUUUAGGAGAUUAAAAACCGAAAAAUAACCUAAAACCGAACCGAUAUCCAGAUUAAACAGAUUAAUAUCUCCUUAUUAAAAAAUAACGAAACUAAUAAUCAUAUUCCGCGCAACGCGCGGGUUAUUACCUGAUGUUUAUUGUUACGUAUCUGAUGCUGUAUUUUGUUUUCUCUAUGGACUUUAUUCAGUAGGAAUAUGUGUUAUUUUUUUUUAUUUUUUUUUUGAUAAUCCAGGGUUCCCCACUUACGUGGGUCAUUCCCUGGGCCUGGUUAGACAACGGUCCACUUCACCCGGGAGGGCUAUACCUGGGCUGGAGACAAGGCUCAACACCCAAUACUGCAUUUGAUGACAAGAUGGGCAGUUCUCCUCCGCAUGGCGUCGAACCGGGAGCAUGACAAUUGGCCCCCAAGGUCCUUACCAAACGAGCUACCACAUCCCGUCAGGGAUAUGUGUUAUUGCCAUCCUUAAUUAUAUAUAUGUAACGAUCUCUCUUUUCUACAAAAAUGAUUAAAUGAACCACCCUAUCUAAAGAUCAUUUUUUCUUGACGUCACUAAUCUUAAAACAAAACAUUUUGUGCAAGUGAUAAGUUGAUAGCUAUGAUUCUACGUAGAAAUCAUUUUUUUAGAAAAAGGAAUGAUAGGGGACCAUAUAUUGUAUAUAACAUUUAUAAUGUGAUUUAAUCUAAAGUAGACUUUGACCCGUGCAUAAGCAUGGAUGACUCUAAAAGGAUGAUUAACUACAGUCUUUUAGUCGGGGUUCUUAAUUCAUGAUUUGACAUUUUUUUUUUUUUUUUACAUUUUUCGAUUAAGAGAUGGCUUUUAUAUAUCUUAUUUAAGAGACAGCUCUUAUAUCUCUUAUUUAAGAGACGACUCUUAGUUUUUCUUAGUUUAAAUCUAAGAAAAACUAAGAAUUGUCUCCUAACCGAAACUAAGAAUCUCAGUUAAGAGAUUGGGUUAAUCAUGGUAUUAGGCUCUAAAGAUUGAUUUUUUUUCCAAAACUUUCUUUUCAAACUUGUUACACCUUAACGCCUUCUAUCAAAAAUAAAGCUUAUUGCACCUCAUCAAUGGUUUAUCUUUUUUUUUUGAACUGUCAUCAAUGGUUUAUUACGCUCUGUAUGCCUCAUAAAGCUGACGUGCAAUCCAUCCUGCAAACACCAAACCCGAUUCACAUUUUCUCCAACAUAAUCAACACAUCAUUAAACUAUGUACGGCCUUGCUAUUUCAUUACCUUACAUACAAACAUGCGGUUUAAAUGACAUUUUAAAAUACAAACAUCUGUAAUGGACGUCAAAAUUUUCUAAAGUACGCGCGGCUCUUUGGUUCAGUACAUGGUCAAAGGCACUGAGAAGCUUCCUGCUAAGGUAACAUAACAUAAUAUCCCUAAUGGUAUCUCAAGAUUAUUGAUUCUUACCGGAGAAAUUGAAACUUGAUGAAUAGGUUCGUAGGUUCCAGAGUCCUAAUGAACAUCCUUUCUUUCCAGACUAUUUGCCAGAGCCUAUGUUGCCAGCUCUGCAGUGCCCAAAGGUGCUUACGUGAAUUUAAGAUUGAGGCUUUAGUGGACUUUUCAUGGGUUAUUACGUCUUAUUAAUGUGAUUUCUGUAUAAACUCUUCUUAUUCGAGCUGUGUUUUGAAGUUUUAUACUACAUGAUAAGGGAUUCAGUUUUGUAUCUUAUCAAGUAGGUUUGCAUUUUGCUGCUGAUUCUUUUUUUUUAUAUCAACAUAAACAAUAAGAUAUGGAACAUGUAGUUUAGAAAUUAAUGACGUCCAUUACAAAAUGAUGUUUGUAUUUUAUAAUUUAGAGAUUAAGAUAUUGAGCUGUCUACGUUUUAACCAAACAUGGAUACAAACUUUCAGAUCAUGUGUCCAUAUAUCCAUAUCAUACUUAUCCCAAAAUAUAUUCUUCUCAAUUCCUAAAUCAAAAUAUAGUUUCUCUAGCUAGAACAUGAUGGGAUCAACAGUAAAUCAAAAAUGGAGGAAGAAACAAACAUAGACCAUCUCCAAUUGGUUAGAACUCAUCAUGGAUUCUAAUGAUUAAAUUAAUUGUAAAUUUUGUAAUUUGUGAAGUUUAGAACUCCUUGUAAUUUAUCAUGUCCAAUGGUAGAACUUUUUUGAAGUUUUUAAGAGAGAAAGAGACAACAAAGAAAGAGAAAGGCAAUGGAGAAAAAGAUAUACACACAAAAUGAGCCAAUAAGAAAAUGACACUUUAGAGGUUAUUACCAAUUCUAAAAACUUUAUUUUAAUAACAUGUGCUUAGCCUUUUAUUUCUUUUUGAUUUAUGUUUUGAACUUUUUUUUAAAGAACUACUCCUUAACACCAUCCAUUGGAGGUGCUCUUAGCAUUGGCGAUAUUGAAGAGGUGAAGUGAAUCAUCCUCACUGGAUUCUCUCCAUGCACAUCCAAAAUUGAAACUCCAUGAUUAAUAAUUUCAAAAACUGGAUUUACGCAACGUUAAAGAGAUUAAUAUGAAAUCAAAAGAGGAUAAUAAGAAGAAUAGUUCGUAUGAAAUCAGAGAAGACUGCUCUGAUGACAAUCAUGCGUACCAGUCGGUCGUCUUGAAGCACAAGAAAAUCCAAGAGCUAGAGGCGAACUACCAAGAGAGAACGAAUACCAUAGGAACGGUGUUAAUUUGAGUACCUAGCUAAUUGUUUAUAGAUACAAAAAAUAUUCAUUAUGGAAUACAUUUUAUUAUUAGGAAAAUAAACUAUAUACUCGUUUGAAGUCACGAUUUCUGGAAAUGGUCCCAAACUAAAAAAAUCACACAUUAAAAAAUGUUGUGAUUUUACAAUGUGAUUUUUAAUAACAUAUUAAUAAUAUACACAAAGAAGAAAUAACAACUUGGGUCCAUAGCUCAGUGGUAGAGCAAUUUACUGCAGAUCAAUAGGUUACUGGUUCGAACCCCGGUUGGGCCCUAACUCUUUUGUUGUUUUAUUUCGAAAUUUUGCUUUUAGUUAUAAAAAUGUUCUUUCUAUAAAUUAACCCUCGCAAAUUACCAGCUAUACACAAAAUUCCGGUUCCUUACUUUUCUAAUCUUUGUAUUUACGUAACUGUAAGUUUCAAAUAAAGUUUAUAACUUCCUUGUUUAAUCCUUUUAGUCCUUUUUAAUACAUAAUAUAUAAUUAACACUACAACAAAUAUUAUACAAAGAUUAUAUUAUAGCCAACAAAUACUUGUACAACAAUAAAAUCAAAAUUUGUUAACAACAUUUUAAUUUUUCGUGCAUUUUUUUAAGUGCUAAUUUAUUUAAAUUUAAUGAUUUAGUUUUACGUUUUUAUUUAUAUGCAAUGUUUUACUAUAAUAUAAUAUCUUCUUUAUUAAUUUUGUUUUAUAAAACUUUUGUUAGAUAUUUUAUAGUUAUUGUAAAAGACUUAUGUUUUUAGUUAAGUAUUGUUAAACAUAAGAAUUAUUAUGUAAAAUAUAAAAGUUUUAAGAUUUAUAUAUAUAAAGUUGGUUUUUUCCCCUUUCUGACAAGUGGCAGGGGUUUUUGCGAUACGUAUCAUCCGUGUAUUUCUUUUACAUUUUAGGACCUUUUUUUUUUAGAUUAUUGCAAUUUGGCCAAAUACUUACUAAUCAUGGACUACCUAAUUCAUUUCGCACUAACUAUUAUCGUAUGAAGUUUGAUAAUCUAUUUUAUUGUUAACUAAAAUUCAAGAUGAAUAAAGAAAUAAAUAAAAUAAUAAAAAUAUAUUUUACAUAUUUAAUUUAUUCACAACUAAACAUAACAUAAAUUUUUUUAUUUUAUUAUUUUUUACCAUUUUCUAUUAUUUAAUUUACAAAUUAUAUAUUUAUUUAAUUAUUAAAAAUAUAAAAUGACCAAANNNNNNNNNNNNNNNNNNNNNNNNNNNNNNNNNNNNNNNNNNNNNNNNNNNNNNNNNNNNNNNNNNNNNNNNNNNNNNNNNNNNNNNNNNNNNNNNNNNNNNNNNNNNNNNNNNNNNNNNNNNNNNNNNNNNNNNNNNNNNNNNNNNNNNNNNNNNNNNNNNNNNNNNNNNNNNNNNNNNNNNNNNNNNNNNNNNNNNNNNNNNNNNNNNNNNNNNNNNNNNNNNNNNNNNNNNNNNNNNNNNNNNNNNNNNNNNNNNNNNNNNNNNNNNNNNNNNNNNNNNNNNNNNNNNNNNNNNNNNNNNNNNNNNNNNNNNNNNNNNNNNNNNNNNNNNNNNNNNNNNNNNNNNNNNNNNNNNNNNNNNNNNNNNNNNNNNNNNNNNNNNNNNNNNNNNNNNNNNNNNNNNNNNNNNNNNNNNNNNNNNNNNNNNNNNNNNNNNNNNNNNNNNNNNNNNNNNNNNNNNNNNNNNNNNNNNNNNNNNNNNNNNNNNNNNNNNNNNNNNNNNNNNNNNNNNNNNNNNNNNNNNNNNNNNNNNNNNNNNNNNNNNNNNNNNNNNNNNNNNNNNNNNNNNNNNNNNNNNNNNNNNNNNNNNNNNNNNNNNNNNNNNNNNNNNNNNNNNNNNNNNNNNNNNNNNNNNNNNNNNNNNNNNNNNNNNNNNNNNNNNNNNNNNNNNNNNNNNNNNNNNNNNNNNNNNNNNNNNNNNNNNNNNNNNNNNNNNNNNNNNNNNNNNNNNNNNNNNNNNNNNNNNNNNNNNNNNNNNNNNNNNNNNNNNNNNNNNNNNNNNNNNNNNNNNNNNNNNNNNNNNNNNNNNNNNNNNNNNNNNNNNNNNNNNNNNNNNNNNNNNNNNNNNNNNNNNNNNNNNNNNNNNNNNNNNNNNNNNNNNNNNNNNNNNNNNNNNNNNNNNNNNNNNNNNNNNNNNNNNNNNNNNNNNNNNNNNNNNNNNNNNNNNNNNNNNNNNNNNNNNNNNNNNNNNNNNNNNNNNNNNNNNNNNNNNNNNNNNNNNNNNNNNNNNNNNNNNNNNNNNNNNNNNNNNNNNNNNNNNNNNNNNNNNNNNNNNNNNNNNNNNNNNNNNNNNNNNNNNNNNNNNNNNNNNNNNNNNNNNNNNNNNNNNNNNNNNNNNNNNNNNNNNNNNNNNNNNNNNNNNNNNNNNNNNNNNNNNNNNNNNNNNNNNNNNNNNNNNNNNNNNNNNNNNNNNNNNNNNNNNNNNNNNNNNNNNNNNNNNNNNNNNNNNNNNNNNNNNNNNNNNNNNNNNNNNNNNNNNNNNNNNNNNNNNNNNNNNNNNNNNNNNNNNNNNNNNNNNNNNNNNNNNNNNNNNNNNNNNNNNNNNNNNNNNNNNNNNNNNNNNNNNNNNNNNNNNNNNNNNNNNNNNNNNNNNNNNNNNNNNNNNNNNNNNNNNNNNNNNNNNNNNNNNNNNNNNNNNNNNNNNNNNNNNNNNNNNNNNNNNNNNNNNNNNNNNNNNNNNNNNNNNNNNNNNNNNNNNNNNNNNNNNNNNNNNNNNNNNNNNNNNNNNNNNNNNNNNNNNNNNNNNNNNNNNNNNNNNNNNNNNNNNNNNNNNNNNNNNNNNNNNNNNNNNNNNNNNNNNNNNNNNNNNNNNNNNNNNNNNNNNNNNNNNNNNNNNNNNNNNNNNNNNNNNNNNNNNNNNNNNNNNNNNNNNNNNNNNNNNNNNNNNNNNNNNNNNNNNNNNNNNNNNNNNNNNNNNNNNNNNNNNNNNNNNNNNNNNNNNNNNNNNNNNNNNNNNNNNNNNNNNNNNNNNNNNNNNNNNNNNNNNNNNNNNNNNNNNNNNNNNNNNNNNNNNNNNNNNNNNNNNNNNNNNNNNNNNNNNNNNNNNNNNNNNNNNNNNNNNNNNNNNNNNNNNNNNNNNNNNNNNNNNNNNNNNNNNNNNNNNNNNNNNNNNNNNNNNNNNNNNNNNNNNNNNNNNNNNNNNNNNNNNNNNNNNNNNNNNNNNNNNNNNNNNNNNNNNAAAAAAAAGCAAAUAACAAAUAUCAAUAUUUAUAGGAACGGAUAUCCAAUUUGAUCUGUGAAUUGCAUAUAUAUAUAUAUAUAUAUACAUAUAUUUAAAGAAUUAUAUAUAAGUUAUAUAUUAUAGUUUAUAUAAAUUUUAUGAUAUUUUUGUUUUUAAAUAAUUUCAUUUUAAAAUUUUUAUUUUUCAUGUAUUAUUUUGAAAAAAUGUCAUUUAAUAUUAGUUAACAGUAUCUUUAUAUAUUUAUCAACCAUCUUUAUAUACUUUUACGUACACAUACAUGUGCACAUUGACGUGAGCACCUUUUAACUAAAUAUUUACCACAACUGAAAUAUCUAAUUUUUUUUAAAGUUAAAAAAUUCUUUUUAUUAAUGCUUCUUUCACUAUCAACCAAAUUGUAGUAAAAUGAUUUGUCUUAAUAAUUUUUUUUUUUAACUGUUAUCCGUUUAGGAACUAUAAUAUAAAACUAUUGGUUCGACAUCACGACUAUCUAAGAUUCAUAACAUGAAAACAAACAAAUAAUAGUACUUUUUGAUUAUCACAUAAAAAAAACAUCAAACAUUUUAACCAAACAAACCAAAUAAAUACUGAUUUAAAAUGAUAGUUAUAUUUUAGGAGAUUAAAAACCGAAAAAUAACCUAAAACCGAACCGAUAUCCAGAUUAAACAGAUUAAUAUCUCCUUAUUAAAAAAUAACGAAACUAAUAAUCAUAUUCCGCGCAACGCGCGGGUUAUUACCUGAUGUUUAUUGUUACGUAUCUGAUGCUGUAUUUUGUUUUCUCUAUGGACUUUAUUCAGUAGGAAUAUGUGUUAUUUUUUUUUAUUUUUUUUUUGAUAAUCCAGGGUUCCCCACUUACGUGGGUCAUUCCCUGGGCCUGGUUAGACAACGGUCCACUUCACCCGGGAGGGCUAUACCUGGGCUGGAGACAAGGCUCAACACCCAAUACUGCAUUUGAUGACAAGAUGGGCAGUUCUCCUCCGCAUGGCGUCGAACCGGGAGCAUGACAAUUGGCCCCCAAGGUCCUUACCAAACGAGCUACCACAUCCCGUCAGGGAUAUGUGUUAUUGCCAUCCUUAAUUAUAUAUAUGUAACGAUCUCUCUUUUCUACAAAAAUGAUUAAAUGAACCACCCUAUCUAAAGAUCAUUUUUUCUUGACGUCACUAAUCUUAAAACAAAACAUUUUGUGCAAGUGAUAAGUUGAUAGCUAUGAUUCUACGUAGAAAUCAUUUUUUUAGAAAAAGGAAUGAUAGGGGACCAUAUAUUGUAUAUAACAUUUAUAAUGUGAUUUAAUCUAAAGUAGACUUUGACCCGUGCAUAAGCAUGGAUGACUCUAAAAGGAUGAUUAACUACAGUCUUUUAGUCGGGGUUCUUAAUUCAUGAUUUGACAUUUUUUUUUUUUUUUUACAUUUUUCGAUUAAGAGAUGGCUUUUAUAUAUCUUAUUUAAGAGACAGCUCUUAUAUCUCUUAUUUAAGAGACGACUCUUAGUUUUUCUUAGUUUAAAUCUAAGAAAAACUAAGAAUUGUCUCCUAACCGAAACUAAGAAUCUCAGUUAAGAGAUUGGGUUAAUCAUGGUAUUAGGCUCUAAAGAUUGAUUUUUUUUCCAAAACUUUCUUUUCAAACUUGUUACACCUUAACGCCUUCUAUCAAAAAUAAAGCUUAUUGCACCUCAUCAAUGGUUUAUCUUUUUUUUUUGAACUGUCAUCAAUGGUUUAUUACGCUCUGUAUGCCUCAUAAAGCUGACGUGCAAUCCAUCCUGCAAACACCAAACCCGAUUCACAUUUUCUCCAACAUAAUCAACACAUCAUUAAACUAUGUACGGCCUUGCUAUUUCAUUACCUUACAUACAAACAUGCGGUUUAAAUGACAUUUUAAAAUACAAACAUCUGUAAUGGACGUCAAAAUUUUCUAAAGUACGCGCGGCUCUUUGGUUCAGUACAUGGUCAAAGGCACUGAGAAGCUUCCUGCUAAGGUAACAUAACAUAAUAUCCCUAAUGGUAUCUCAAGAUUAUUGAUUCUUACCGGAGAAAUUGAAACUUGAUGAAUAGGUUCGUAGGUUCCAGAGUCCUAAUGAACAUCCUUUCUUUCCAGACUAUUUGCCAGAGCCUAUGUUGCCAGCUCUGCAGUGCCCAAAGGUGCUUACGUGAAUUUAAGAUUGAGGCUUUAGUGGACUUUUCAUGGGUUAUUACGUCUUAUUAAUGUGAUUUCUGUAUAAACUCUUCUUAUUCGAGCUGUGUUUUGAAGUUUUAUACUACAUGAUAAGGGAUUCAGUUUUGUAUCUUAUCAAGUAGGUUUGCAUUUUGCUGCUGAUUCUUUUUUUUUAUAUCAACAUAAACAAUAAGAUAUGGAACAUGUAGUUUAGAAAUUAAUGACGUCCAUUACAAAAUGAUGUUUGUAUUUUAUAAUUUAGAGAUUAAGAUAUUGAGCUGUCUACGUUUUAACCAAACAUGGAUACAAACUUUCAGAUCAUGUGUCCAUAUAUCCAUAUCAUACUUAUCCCAAAAUAUAUUCUUCUCAAUUCCUAAAUCAAAAUAUAGUUUCUCUAGCUAGAACAUGAUGGGAUCAACAGUAAAUCAAAAAUGGAGGAAGAAACAAACAUAGACCAUCUCCAAUUGGUUAGAACUCAUCAUGGAUUCUAAUGAUUAAAUUAAUUGUAAAUUUUGUAAUUUGUGAAGUUUAGAACUCCUUGUAAUUUAUCAUGUCCAAUGGUAGAACUUUUUUGAAGUUUUUAAGAGAGAAAGAGACAACAAAGAAAGAGAAAGGCAAUGGAGAAAAAGAUAUACACACAAAAUGAGCCAAUAAGAAAAUGACACUUUAGAGGUUAUUACCAAUUCUAAAAACUUUAUUUUAAUAACAUGUGCUUAGCCUUUUAUUUCUUUUUGAUUUAUGUUUUGAACUUUUUUUUAAAGAACUACUCCUUAACACCAUCCAUUGGAGGUGCUCUUAGCAUUGGCGAUAUUGAAGAGGUGAAGUGAAUCAUCCUCACUGGAUUCUCUCCAUGCACAUCCAAAAUUGAAACUCCAUGAUUAAUAAUUUCAAAAACUGGAUUUACGCAACGUUAAAGAGAUUAAUAUGAAAUCAAAAGAGGAUAAUAAGAAGAAUAGUUCGUAUGAAAUCAGAGAAGACUGCUCUGAUGACAAUCAUGCGUACCAGUCGGUCGUCUUGAAGCACAAGAAAAUCCAAGAGCUAGAGGCGAACUACCAAGAGAGAACGAAUACCAUAGGAACGGUGUUAAUUUGAGUACCUAGCUAAUUGUUUAUAGAUACAAAAAAUAUUCAUUAUGGAAUACAUUUUAUUAUUAGGAAAAUAAACUAUAUACUCGUUUGAAGUCACGAUUUCUGGAAAUGGUCCCAAACUAAAAAAAUCACACAUUAAAAAAUGUUGUGAUUUUACAAUGUGAUUUUUAAUAACAUAUUAAUAAUAUACACAAAGAAGAAAUAACAACUUGGGUCCAUAGCUCAGUGGUAGAGCAAUUUACUGCAGAUCAAUAGGUUACUGGUUCGAACCCCGGUUGGGCCCUAACUCUUUUGUUGUUUUAUUUCGAAAUUUUGCUUUUAGUUAUAAAAAUGUUCUUUCUAUAAAUUAACCCUCGCAAAUUACCAGCUAUACACAAAAUUCCGGUUCCUUACUUUUCUAAUCUUUGUAUUUACGUAACUGUAAGUUUCAAAUAAAGUUUAUAACUUCCUUGUUUAAUCCUUUUAGUCCUUUUUAAUACAUAAUAUAUAAUUAACACUACAACAAAUAUUAUACAAAGAUUAUAUUAUAGCCAACAAAUACUUGUACAACAAUAAAAUCAAAAUUUGUUAACAACAUUUUAAUUUUUCGUGCAUUUUUUUAAGUGCUAAUUUAUUUAAAUUUAAUGAUUUAGUUUUACGUUUUUAUUUAUAUGCAAUGUUUUACUAUAAUAUAAUAUCUUCUUUAUUAAUUUUGUUUUAUAAAACUUUUGUUAGAUAUUUUAUAGUUAUUGUAAAAGACUUAUGUUUUUAGUUAAGUAUUGUUAAACAUAAGAAUUAUUAUGUAAAAUAUAAAAGUUUUAAGAUUUAUAUAUAUAAAGUUGGUUUUUUCCCCUUUCUGACAAGUGGCAGGGGUUUUUGCGAUACGUAUCAUCCGUGUAUUUCUUUUACAUUUUAGGACCUUUUUUUUUUAGAUUAUUGCAAUUUGGCCAAAUACUUACUAAUCAUGGACUACCUAAUUCAUUUCGCACUAACUAUUAUCGUAUGAAGUUUGAUAAUCUAUUUUAUUGUUAACUAAAAUUCAAGAUGAAUAAAGAAAUAAAUAAAAUAAUAAAAAUAUAUUUUACAUAUUUAAUUUAUUCACAACUAAACAUAACAUAAAUUUUUUUAUUUUAUUAUUUUUUACCAUUUUCUAUUAUUUAAUUUACAAAUUAUAUAUUUAUUUAAUUAUUAAAAAUAUAAAAUGACCAAACUAAUAAGAAGAAAUUAGAGUGCAAUACAUAAUCUAUACAUAAACUUCCACAGUCAGAGAGAAAAAGUAAAAUAUCAUAUUAACACUAACUCAAUAAAUAUUUAGAGCUGAAAAAAGAUCAACAAAGAAGACUAGCCUAUCUCAUCUUACCAUAAAGUGUCUUCACUGGAACAAGAAGAUUUCAGAAAAAGGUAAAAAAAUAAAAUAUGAGAUAAAACAAUCCUCAAAACACAAAGGAUCGAGAUCAAGCACCAUCGCAAAAAAACCAAAAAAGCGGACCAAAGAAAGAAUAAUCAUCGGAAGAACAAAGUCACCAUAAAACAAAAAGACGCAUGUCUAAAGCACCGAAAAUACAACCACCAGCUAAGAGAUAAGAAACACCUCACAAACUAAACAAGCACAUACAAGGAACUCAUGCCAGCGAAGAACCAAAAAACUCUGAAUAGAAGAAAUCAAAGCUCCAAAAGACUAACUCCGCACACCUACACCAAAGGAUGCAUGAGAAGAAGAUAAACAACCUGGAUGGGAGAGAAUGGAAGCCAACCACCGAGAAACCAAAGCUGAAGCUUGAGACCAUAAACAACCUUCCAAGUGUACAAAGCAUACACAGAGAAAAACACUAUCUAAACCUGGAGUAGCAAAUAUGGUGAAAGGGAGAGCCACAAGAGACGUGAUCAGCGAUGAAAGGUACAACGAGAUGAGAGACCAAAGAGAUAAAAAGAGACAAAAUGAAAUCAACAAACCGUAGAGCCAUCCUCGAACUAUGAAAAAAAUCAUAGAAGUUAGAUCACCAAAAACCCGAGCUUGAAAACUAAGACGAGCAGAGACUAUUGACGGCAAACCAGUGACGAGGAAAACAACAUCAAUGACAACUAAACUCUGACCCAACCCAACGAAAUGUAGUUUCUAACUUUAGCUUAAACCUAAGAAAAAAGAAGACCAAUAUUGACCGAAAUAACAUACAACGCCGUAAAAAACAACCCCACAACAUGGAACUGAUAUGCAUGAUCUAUAACAAAUAUCAGAUAAUCUCACAGAAAAAAAAGGUGAGGAAAAAUGAGAGCACAUAGGUGAGUCUUUUCCCAGUGAUGGUGAGAAGCAUUGCACACCGGAGAGGUAAACAAAAUACACAGAUGGUGAUGGUUCAAGGUCAAAAGAUGGAGGAGAGUGCAAAACACACCUAAAAAGAGUAAUGUUCAAAAAUGUGAAAUAUUAAAAUACAAUUUUGACAUCGUUAAUCUUAGAAUCAACAAAUGCCUAAAAGACAAAGCUAUUGAAAUUCAAUAUGUUUUACAUCAUAAACUCACUUCAUCACUAACAACUAGUAUUAUACAUUAUUAAAAAGACAAACACAUAGUAUAUUAACUUAUUACUUACUACUACAUAACAUAAUAAAACAUGUUCUUCACAAAUAAAUACUGACCACAUAAUCACAUCAUCAGAAAAUCAUAUUUAAGAACAAUAAAAUAAUAUUCCGCGUGAAGCGCGAACAACCCCCUAAUUUAAUAUAAAGGUUUGUUUUUGGAGAAAAACACCUUCAAACUUUUUGUUUUUGAAGUUUUGCCAAACUUUAAAAUGAGGGAGGUUUUGGAAAUGCUCUUAGAGUUAUGAUGUUACAAAAAUUAAUCAACACUUCAUCACACUUGUUUUAUAUCAUUGAUUUAAUUUCUUAUAAUUUGAAAAUUUUAAUAACAUAACUAAGAGAGAUUAACAUGUUGACAUACUUUGGGCUUGGGUCUUUGCACUUUGACAUACUUAUUGAUUGGAGUGUACUUUGGAGUUGCUUUUUCGAUUUAUUAGGACAAAAUUGCCCUUUACUAGCUAAAAAUGUUUGUGACUAAAAACACACCAGUUUCGUUUGUUUGGAAACUCUAGUUACAUCUUAUAUUUUUGUCAUUAAUGUGUGACAGCUUUAUCGAGUUCUGGGCUUCAAACAAGACCGUUAGAUUGUUUUAUUUUAAGAUCAAUCUGAUGGCUGGUGUAUAACAAAGAACAAGUAGCAUGAAAAGGGAAGGGACAUCAACAUCCAUUAAAUGUUUGGCCCUUUUGUGGUCAGAUAAACCUCUGUGUUGUAGAUAACCUUUUAUGAAAUGACUUGUUUAUGUGAAGGAGUAUCAUGGUUGGAGGAAUCUUGGUCAGAGAUAGAGUUGUGGUCGGUGAUUAGUAGGUCAGCUGUGGAGGUUCUGUGUUCAGGUUUUGUAGUGAGUAAAGUGGUUUUGUGGUCAGGGAACACAUGGCUAUGAUUUGGAGUGGUUAAAGUGGUUAUAUGGUCAGAGGAGGUAUGAUCGGGGCAGCAUCAAGUAGGUCAGAGGUGGAGGUAUGGACAUCGAUAUAGUUGUGGUCAGUGAUCUAUGGGUUAGAGAUUGAGGUUUUGUGGUCACGGUUUGGAGUGGGUGAAGUGGUUAUGUGCCCAGGGGAUAUGUGGCCAGGAGCAGCAGAUACGGAGAUAAAAACGGUUAGAUUUAAGGUUCAUAACAUUAGAAGAAAAAUAGAAAAGUUAGAGAAAGUAGAAAUUUUCCAUCGUUAUAGAUCGGAGCAAAGUGGCGGUGUCUCUGGGAAAUUGAAAAUCAUGAACAUAGUCGAAGGAUAGUGGUGAUCCAAGUAGAAGGGAUGAGAAGACUUGUAUUUCCGUUUGGAAUCGAGGCCGUAAUAGCCGGUGAAUCGCUGAUUUAGUUUUAGAUUUAGUUGAAAGUAAAAUAAUUGAAAAACUGUGGAUAGGAAUUUCUAGUUAACUUUAAGUUUAGUUGAGAAGAGAUAUUAUUGUCAAUCCAUAGAGGAGAAGUACACCUUAUGUUGAAAGUAUGUCAACAUGUUAAAAGGUUUCCUGAAGAUACGUCAAAGAGUAAUUUUUUCCAUAACUAAACUGUAAUAUAAUUUUUCGGACAAAUUUAUAUUUUUUUGUCAUGGGAGGAAAAGCAAUUAAGAUAGUACAGACACAAAUGAGGACGGCCCAUUUAUAUUCUCGAGGCCCAUUUCGAAACGACGAAUAGUCGAAUGCUUUUUCGUAUUUCACCUGUUCAAUGUCGUCGUCUUUCUCAUUUCUCAUUUCUCAUUUCUCAUUUCUCAUUCUUCCUCCGAUACCGAGAUCUCGUUAACAAAAAAAUAAUCUCAAAUCUCCAGAAAUCAGCUCGUGUGUAUAUUACAGAAGCCUGUUCGAUCCGUGCUUAAGAAUCGCUAGGAUCGAAGAUGCCGGUGGCAGCUUCCGCCAUCUACUUUCUCAAUCUCCGUGGCGAUGUACUCAUCAAUCGCACCUACCGAGACGACGUCGGGUGAGACACCUUCUCCUUUCCUUUCCCACCAUGGAUCUCUCUCUGCACCGCUUGUGGGAUUCGAGCUCUUGUCUAAUAUUUUUUUGAUUUGAUUAAUUAGGGGAAACAUGGUGGACGCGUUUCGAACGCACAUAAUGCAAACCAAGGAGCUAGGGAACUGUCCAGUGCGUCAGAUUGGUGGCUGCUCCUUCGUCUAUAUGCGAAUCAGCAAUGUCUACAUCGUCAUUGUUGUCAGCAGCAAUGCUAAUGUUGCUUGUGGCUUCAAAUUCGUUGUUGAGGUAAAGAUUGAUUCUUAGCGUUAGAUGCUUGGUUUAGUUAAUAAUGUUGAUUCACGUACUACAGGCUGUUGCUUUGUUCAAAUCAUACUUUGGCGGCGCUUUUGAUGAAGACGCUAUUAAGAAUAACUUUGUCCUCAUUUAUGAAUUGUUGGACGGUUAGUACGCACGCAUAUAUGAUUCUUUCAUGGUUAAGCUGUUUUCUACAAGUAGUAUCUUUGUACUAUUUCGUGUGGAAUUUGCAGAGAUUAUGGACUUUGGCUAUCCACAGAAUCUCUCCCCUGAAAUUUUGAAGCUUUAUAUCACUCAGGAAGGUGUGCGUUCACCGUUUUCUUCAAAGGUAAAGGAUUGAACUUCUGUUUGGUGUACGGUGCUUGCUAGUGAAGUAGGUUUUUCAGUGAUAAGUUUCUUUUUUUUUUUGUGUAAAAAUGGAAACAGCCGAAGGAUAAGCCUGUUCCGAACGCAACGCUGCAAGUUACAGGUGCUGUUGGCUGGCGAAGAGAGGGUCUUUCUUAUAAAAAGAACGAGGUCAGAGUUGUGUUUCUUUCUUUCUGUGUGUAUUGCGUUUGCUAGAUUGUGCUGUGCCUAAGUGUUGACAUUAUGCAUUGUCCACUACUGCAGGUGUUUCUGGAUAUUGUGGAAAGCGUAAACCUUCUUAUGUCCUCUAAAGGUAAGUCGUUCCCUUUGUAAAACCUUUCUUUGUUCCUUGUUUUCUUUGUAUAAUUGUUUUUUGCAUAUUAUGGAAACUGUUAGGCAAUGUUCUUCGGUGUGAUGUGACUGGGAAAGUUUUAAUGAAAUGUUUCCUUUCGGGGAUGCCUGAUUUGAAGUUGGGGUUGAAUGAUAAAAUUGGUCUUGAGAAAGAAUCGGAAAUGAAAUCUCGUCCGGCUAAGAGGUAGCCUUUGUUUAAACAGUGAUCCACACUAGCUAGUAGCACUUUCCAUGGUUCUCACCUAGCUCACUCUUUGUGUACAGUGGUAAAACCAUUGAGCUUGAUGAUGUCACUUUUCACCAGUGUGUGAACCUGACAAGAUUCAAUUCCGAGAAGACCGUUAGCUUUGUACCACCGGAUGGUGAAUUUGAACUGAUGAAGUAAGUUUUGGGAAUGUUUACUGUUGCAUAUUGUUCCUGAUACUUAAAGUUUACUGAGUUGAUGGUGUCCUCAGGUAUCGAAUAACAGAGGGUGUGAAUCUGCCUUUCCGUGUAUUGCCAACGAUUAAAGAACUUGGUCGCACACGCAUGGAAGUAAAUGUGAAGGUACAUACAUAGCUUUCCUUCUCAAAGGUUAACCAAAAAAGCGGAUUGAUCUUUGCGCUCUUACAAUCCACUCCCAUAUUUCGUCUUUUCAGGUUAAAAGUGUGUUUGGUGCUAAAAUGUUUGCGCUUGGAGUCGUUGUCAAAAUCCCAGUGCCAAAACAAACAGCAAAGACGAACUUCCAAGUGACUUCUGGUCGCGCUAAAUACAACCCAUCAAUCGAUUGCUUGGUUUGGAAGUAAGUUUUAUUUCCUUUUAAUAAUUAUUGCAUAUUUAUAGUUAUAGUACGUGGUAUUGUAUCAAUCAUUUUUUUUUUUCUUUUGAAUGAAUGAAUGUUAAAUUUUUAUUCAUCAUAUUUAUAGUUUUAUUCAAUCAUUUACCUUCUCUCUUUUACUCUUUAGGAUAAGAAAAUUUCCAGGACAAACAGAGUCCACGCUAAGUGCAGAGAUUGAGUUGAUCUCAACAAUGGGAGAGAAGAAAUCUUGGACAAGGCCACCAAUCCAAAUGGAGUUUCAGGUCAAUCUUUUCUUCUGUUGUUGGCAUUGUUGAAUAGAACCAGGUUUGUUUGAGGUGAAUGUUAAUUAACCGUCUCAGCUUCGUUCUCUUUACAGGUGCCAAUGUUCACAGCCUCUGGUCUGCGAGUUCGUUUCCUCAAGGUACGCUUUGAUUUCUAUGUUUUUGUAGAGACCAAGAAUGUGAUUAGCUAAGUUUUGGAAUCUUUAACCCAUAUCCAGUUCAAUUUUUUUUUUUUUUAGUGUUAUAUUUUUCAUGUAUUAUUUUGAAAAAAUGUCAUUUAAUAUUAGUUAACAGUAUCUUUAUAUAUUUAUCAACCAUCUUUAUAUACUUUUACGUACACAUACAUGUGCACAUUGACGUGAGCACCUUUUAACUAAAUAUUUACCACAACUGAAAUAUCUAAUUUUUUUUAAAGUUAAAAAAUUCUUUUUAUUAAUGCUUCUUUCACUAUCAACCAAAUUGUAGUAAAAUGAUUUGUCUUAAUAAUUUUUUUUUUUAACUGUUAUCCGUUUAGGAACUAUAAUAUAAAACUAUUGGUUCGACAUCACGACUAUCUAAGAUUCAUAACAUGAAAACAAACAAAUAAUAGUACUUUUUGAUUAUCACAUAAAAAAAACAUCAAACAUUUUAACCAAACAAACCAAAUAAAUACUGAUUUAAAAUGAUAGUUAUAUUUUAGGAGAUUAAAAACCGAAAAAUAACCUAAAACCGAACCGAUAUCCAGAUUAAACAGAUUAAUAUCUCCUUAUUAAAAAAUAACGAAACUAAUAAUCAUAUUCCGCGCAACGCGCGGGUUAUUACCUGAUGUUUAUUGUUACGUAUCUGAUGCUGUAUUUUGUUUUCUCUAUGGACUUUAUUCAGUAGGAAUAUGUGUUAUUUUUUUUUAUUUUUUUUUUGAUAAUCCAGGGUUCCCCACUUACGUGGGUCAUUCCCUGGGCCUGGUUAGACAACGGUCCACUUCACCCGGGAGGGCUAUACCUGGGCUGGAGACAAGGCUCAACACCCAAUACUGCAUUUGAUGACAAGAUGGGCAGUUCUCCUCCGCAUGGCGUCGAACCGGGAGCAUGACAAUUGGCCCCCAAGGUCCUUACCAAACGAGCUACCACAUCCCGUCAGGGAUAUGUGUUAUUGCCAUCCUUAAUUAUAUAUAUGUAACGAUCUCUCUUUUCUACAAAAAUGAUUAAAUGAACCACCCUAUCUAAAGAUCAUUUUUUCUUGACGUCACUAAUCUUAAAACAAAACAUUUUGUGCAAGUGAUAAGUUGAUAGCUAUGAUUCUACGUAGAAAUCAUUUUUUUAGAAAAAGGAAUGAUAGGGGACCAUAUAUUGUAUAUAACAUUUAUAAUGUGAUUUAAUCUAAAGUAGACUUUGACCCGUGCAUAAGCAUGGAUGACUCUAAAAGGAUGAUUAACUACAGUCUUUUAGUCGGGGUUCUUAAUUCAUGAUUUGACAUUUUUUUUUUUUUUUUACAUUUUUCGAUUAAGAGAUGGCUUUUAUAUAUCUUAUUUAAGAGACAGCUCUUAUAUCUCUUAUUUAAGAGACGACUCUUAGUUUUUCUUAGUUUAAAUCUAAGAAAAACUAAGAAUUGUCUCCUAACCGAAACUAAGAAUCUCAGUUAAGAGAUUGGGUUAAUCAUGGUAUUAGGCUCUAAAGAUUGAUUUUUUUUCCAAAACUUUCUUUUCAAACUUGUUACACCUUAACGCCUUCUAUCAAAAAUAAAGCUUAUUGCACCUCAUCAAUGGUUUAUCUUUUUUUUUUGAACUGUCAUCAAUGGUUUAUUACGCUCUGUAUGCCUCAUAAAGCUGACGUGCAAUCCAUCCUGCAAACACCAAACCCGAUUCACAUUUUCUCCAACAUAAUCAACACAUCAUUAAACUAUGUACGGCCUUGCUAUUUCAUUACCUUACAUACAAACAUGCGGUUUAAAUGACAUUUUAAAAUACAAACAUCUGUAAUGGACGUCAAAAUUUUCUAAAGUACGCGCGGCUCUUUGGUUCAGUACAUGGUCAAAGGCACUGAGAAGCUUCCUGCUAAGGUAACAUAACAUAAUAUCCCUAAUGGUAUCUCAAGAUUAUUGAUUCUUACCGGAGAAAUUGAAACUUGAUGAAUAGGUUCGUAGGUUCCAGAGUCCUAAUGAACAUCCUUUCUUUCCAGACUAUUUGCCAGAGCCUAUGUUGCCAGCUCUGCAGUGCCCAAAGGUGCUUACGUGAAUUUAAGAUUGAGGCUUUAGUGGACUUUUCAUGGGUUAUUACGUCUUAUUAAUGUGAUUUCUGUAUAAACUCUUCUUAUUCGAGCUGUGUUUUGAAGUUUUAUACUACAUGAUAAGGGAUUCAGUUUUGUAUCUUAUCAAGUAGGUUUGCAUUUUGCUGCUGAUUCUUUUUUUUUAUAUCAACAUAAACAAUAAGAUAUGGAACAUGUAGUUUAGAAAUUAAUGACGUCCAUUACAAAAUGAUGUUUGUAUUUUAUAAUUUAGAGAUUAAGAUAUUGAGCUGUCUACGUUUUAACCAAACAUGGAUACAAACUUUCAGAUCAUGUGUCCAUAUAUCCAUAUCAUACUUAUCCCAAAAUAUAUUCUUCUCAAUUCCUAAAUCAAAAUAUAGUUUCUCUAGCUAGAACAUGAUGGGAUCAACAGUAAAUCAAAAAUGGAGGAAGAAACAAACAUAGACCAUCUCCAAUUGGUUAGAACUCAUCAUGGAUUCUAAUGAUUAAAUUAAUUGUAAAUUUUGUAAUUUGUGAAGUUUAGAACUCCUUGUAAUUUAUCAUGUCCAAUGGUAGAACUUUUUUGAAGUUUUUAAGAGAGAAAGAGACAACAAAGAAAGAGAAAGGCAAUGGAGAAAAAGAUAUACACACAAAAUGAGCCAAUAAGAAAAUGACACUUUAGAGGUUAUUACCAAUUCUAAAAACUUUAUUUUAAUAACAUGUGCUUAGCCUUUUAUUUCUUUUUGAUUUAUGUUUUGAACUUUUUUUUAAAGAACUACUCCUUAACACCAUCCAUUGGAGGUGCUCUUAGCAUUGGCGAUAUUGAAGAGGUGAAGUGAAUCAUCCUCACUGGAUUCUCUCCAUGCACAUCCAAAAUUGAAACUCCAUGAUUAAUAAUUUCAAAAACUGGAUUUACGCAACGUUAAAGAGAUUAAUAUGAAAUCAAAAGAGGAUAAUAAGAAGAAUAGUUCGUAUGAAAUCAGAGAAGACUGCUCUGAUGACAAUCAUGCGUACCAGUCGGUCGUCUUGAAGCACAAGAAAAUCCAAGAGCUAGAGGCGAACUACCAAGAGAGAACGAAUACCAUAGGAACGGUGUUAAUUUGAGUACCUAGCUAAUUGUUUAUAGAUACAAAAAAUAUUCAUUAUGGAAUACAUUUUAUUAUUAGGAAAAUAAACUAUAUACUCGUUUGAAGUCACGAUUUCUGGAAAUGGUCCCAAACUAAAAAAAUCACACAUUAAAAAAUGUUGUGAUUUUACAAUGUGAUUUUUAAUAACAUAUUAAUAAUAUACACAAAGAAGAAAUAACAACUUGGGUCCAUAGCUCAGUGGUAGAGCAAUUUACUGCAGAUCAAUAGGUUACUGGUUCGAACCCCGGUUGGGCCCUAACUCUUUUGUUGUUUUAUUUCGAAAUUUUGCUUUUAGUUAUAAAAAUGUUCUUUCUAUAAAUUAACCCUCGCAAAUUACCAGCUAUACACAAAAUUCCGGUUCCUUACUUUUCUAAUCUUUGUAUUUACGUAACUGUAAGUUUCAAAUAAAGUUUAUAACUUCCUUGUUUAAUCCUUUUAGUCCUUUUUAAUACAUAAUAUAUAAUUAACACUACAACAAAUAUUAUACAAAGAUUAUAUUAUAGCCAACAAAUACUUGUACAACAAUAAAAUCAAAAUUUGUUAACAACAUUUUAAUUUUUCGUGCAUUUUUUUAAGUGCUAAUUUAUUUAAAUUUAAUGAUUUAGUUUUACGUUUUUAUUUAUAUGCAAUGUUUUACUAUAAUAUAAUAUCUUCUUUAUUAAUUUUGUUUUAUAAAACUUUUGUUAGAUAUUUUAUAGUUAUUGUAAAAGACUUAUGUUUUUAGUUAAGUAUUGUUAAACAUAAGAAUUAUUAUGUAAAAUAUAAAAGUUUUAAGAUUUAUAUAUAUAAAGUUGGUUUUUUCCCCUUUCUGACAAGUGGCAGGGGUUUUUGCGAUACGUAUCAUCCGUGUAUUUCUUUUACAUUUUAGGACCUUUUUUUUUUAGAUUAUUGCAAUUUGGCCAAAUACUUACUAAUCAUGGACUACCUAAUUCAUUUCGCACUAACUAUUAUCGUAUGAAGUUUGAUAAUCUAUUUUAUUGUUAACUAAAAUUCAAGAUGAAUAAAGAAAUAAAUAAAAUAAUAAAAAUAUAUUUUACAUAUUUAAUUUAUUCACAACUAAACAUAACAUAAAUUUUUUUAUUUUAUUAUUUUUUACCAUUUUCUAUUAUUUAAUUUACAAAUUAUAUAUUUAUUUAAUUAUUAAAAAUAUAAAAUGACCAAACUAAUAAGAAGAAAUUAGAGUGCAAUACAUAAUCUAUACAUAAACUUCCACAGUCAGAGAGAAAAAGUAAAAUAUCAUAUUAACACUAACUCAAUAAAUAUUUAGAGCUGAAAAAAGAUCAACAAAGAAGACUAGCCUAUCUCAUCUUACCAUAAAGUGUCUUCACUGGAACAAGAAGAUUUCAGAAAAAGGUAAAAAAAUAAAAUAUGAGAUAAAACAAUCCUCAAAACACAAAGGAUCGAGAUCAAGCACCAUCGCAAAAAAACCAAAAAAGCGGACCAAAGAAAGAAUAAUCAUCGGAAGAACAAAGUCACCAUAAAACAAAAAGACGCAUGUCUAAAGCACCGAAAAUACAACCACCAGCUAAGAGAUAAGAAACACCUCACAAACUAAACAAGCACAUACAAGGAACUCAUGCCAGCGAAGAACCAAAAAACUCUGAAUAGAAGAAAUCAAAGCUCCAAAAGACUAACUCCGCACACCUACACCAAAGGAUGCAUGAGAAGAAGAUAAACAACCUGGAUGGGAGAGAAUGGAAGCCAACCACCGAGAAACCAAAGCUGAAGCUUGAGACCAUAAACAACCUUCCAAGUGUACAAAGCAUACACAGAGAAAAACACUAUCUAAACCUGGAGUAGCAAAUAUGGUGAAAGGGAGAGCCACAAGAGACGUGAUCAGCGAUGAAAGGUACAACGAGAUGAGAGACCAAAGAGAUAAAAAGAGACAAAAUGAAAUCAACAAACCGUAGAGCCAUCCUCGAACUAUGAAAAAAAUCAUAGAAGUUAGAUCACCAAAAACCCGAGCUUGAAAACUAAGACGAGCAGAGACUAUUGACGGCAAACCAGUGACGAGGAAAACAACAUCAAUGACAACUAAACUCUGACCCAACCCAACGAAAUGUAGUUUCUAACUUUAGCUUAAACCUAAGAAAAAAGAAGACCAAUAUUGACCGAAAUAACAUACAACGCCGUAAAAAACAACCCCACAACAUGGAACUGAUAUGCAUGAUCUAUAACAAAUAUCAGAUAAUCUCACAGAAAAAAAAGGUGAGGAAAAAUGAGAGCACAUAGGUGAGUCUUUUCCCAGUGAUGGUGAGAAGCAUUGCACACCGGAGAGGUAAACAAAAUACACAGAUGGUGAUGGUUCAAGGUCAAAAGAUGGAGGAGAGUGCAAAACACACCUAAAAAGAGUAAUGUUCAAAAAUGUGAAAUAUUAAAAUACAAUUUUGACAUCGUUAAUCUUAGAAUCAACAAAUGCCUAAAAGACAAAGCUAUUGAAAUUCAAUAUGUUUUACAUCAUAAACUCACUUCAUCACUAACAACUAGUAUUAUACAUUAUUAAAAAGACAAACACAUAGUAUAUUAACUUAUUACUUACUACUACAUAACAUAAUAAAACAUGUUCUUCACAAAUAAAUACUGACCACAUAAUCACAUCAUCAGAAAAUCAUAUUUAAGAACAAUAAAAUAAUAUUCCGCGUGAAGCGCGAACAACCCCCUAAUUUAAUAUAAAGGUUUGUUUUUGGAGAAAAACACCUUCAAACUUUUUGUUUUUGAAGUUUUGCCAAACUUUAAAAUGAGGGAGGUUUUGGAAAUGCUCUUAGAGUUAUGAUGUUACAAAAAUUAAUCAACACUUCAUCACACUUGUUUUAUAUCAUUGAUUUAAUUUCUUAUAAUUUGAAAAUUUUAAUAACAUAACUAAGAGAGAUUAACAUGUUGACAUACUUUGGGCUUGGGUCUUUGCACUUUGACAUACUUAUUGAUUGGAGUGUACUUUGGAGUUGCUUUUUCGAUUUAUUAGGACAAAAUUGCCCUUUACUAGCUAAAAAUGUUUGUGACUAAAAACACACCAGUUUCGUUUGUUUGGAAACUCUAGUUACAUCUUAUAUUUUUGUCAUUAAUGUGUGACAGCUUUAUCGAGUUCUGGGCUUCAAACAAGACCGUUAGAUUGUUUUAUUUUAAGAUCAAUCUGAUGGCUGGUGUAUAACAAAGAACAAGUAGCAUGAAAAGGGAAGGGACAUCAACAUCCAUUAAAUGUUUGGCCCUUUUGUGGUCAGAUAAACCUCUGUGUUGUAGAUAACCUUUUAUGAAAUGACUUGUUUAUGUGAAGGAGUAUCAUGGUUGGAGGAAUCUUGGUCAGAGAUAGAGUUGUGGUCGGUGAUUAGUAGGUCAGCUGUGGAGGUUCUGUGUUCAGGUUUUGUAGUGAGUAAAGUGGUUUUGUGGUCAGGGAACACAUGGCUAUGAUUUGGAGUGGUUAAAGUGGUUAUAUGGUCAGAGGAGGUAUGAUCGGGGCAGCAUCAAGUAGGUCAGAGGUGGAGGUAUGGACAUCGAUAUAGUUGUGGUCAGUGAUCUAUGGGUUAGAGAUUGAGGUUUUGUGGUCACGGUUUGGAGUGGGUGAAGUGGUUAUGUGCCCAGGGGAUAUGUGGCCAGGAGCAGCAGAUACGGAGAUAAAAACGGUUAGAUUUAAGGUUCAUAACAUUAGAAGAAAAAUAGAAAAGUUAGAGAAAGUAGAAAUUUUCCAUCGUUAUAGAUCGGAGCAAAGUGGCGGUGUCUCUGGGAAAUUGAAAAUCAUGAACAUAGUCGAAGGAUAGUGGUGAUCCAAGUAGAAGGGAUGAGAAGACUUGUAUUUCCGUUUGGAAUCGAGGCCGUAAUAGCCGGUGAAUCGCUGAUUUAGUUUUAGAUUUAGUUGAAAGUAAAAUAAUUGAAAAACUGUGGAUAGGAAUUUCUAGUUAACUUUAAGUUUAGUUGAGAAGAGAUAUUAUUGUCAAUCCAUAGAGGAGAAGUACACCUUAUGUUGAAAGUAUGUCAACAUGUUAAAAGGUUUCCUGAAGAUACGUCAAAGAGUAAUUUUUUCCAUAACUAAACUGUAAUAUAAUUUUUCGGACAAAUUUAUAUUUUUUUGUCAUGGGAGGAAAAGCAAUUAAGAUAGUACAGACACAAAUGAGGACGGCCCAUUUAUAUUCUCGAGGCCCAUUUCGAAACGACGAAUAGUCGAAUGCUUUUUCGUAUUUCACCUGUUCAAUGUCGUCGUCUUUCUCAUUUCUCAUUUCUCAUUUCUCAUUUCUCAUUCUUCCUCCGAUACCGAGAUCUCGUUAACAAAAAAAUAAUCUCAAAUCUCCAGAAAUCAGCUCGUGUGUAUAUUACAGAAGCCUGUUCGAUCCGUGCUUAAGAAUCGCUAGGAUCGAAGAUGCCGGUGGCAGCUUCCGCCAUCUACUUUCUCAAUCUCCGUGGCGAUGUACUCAUCAAUCGCACCUACCGAGACGACGUCGGGUGAGACACCUUCUCCUUUCCUUUCCCACCAUGGAUCUCUCUCUGCACCGCUUGUGGGAUUCGAGCUCUUGUCUAAUAUUUUUUUGAUUUGAUUAAUUAGGGGAAACAUGGUGGACGCGUUUCGAACGCACAUAAUGCAAACCAAGGAGCUAGGGAACUGUCCAGUGCGUCAGAUUGGUGGCUGCUCCUUCGUCUAUAUGCGAAUCAGCAAUGUCUACAUCGUCAUUGUUGUCAGCAGCAAUGCUAAUGUUGCUUGUGGCUUCAAAUUCGUUGUUGAGGUAAAGAUUGAUUCUUAGCGUUAGAUGCUUGGUUUAGUUAAUAAUGUUGAUUCACGUACUACAGGCUGUUGCUUUGUUCAAAUCAUACUUUGGCGGCGCUUUUGAUGAAGACGCUAUUAAGAAUAACUUUGUCCUCAUUUAUGAAUUGUUGGACGGUUAGUACGCACGCAUAUAUGAUUCUUUCAUGGUUAAGCUGUUUUCUACAAGUAGUAUCUUUGUACUAUUUCGUGUGGAAUUUGCAGAGAUUAUGGACUUUGGCUAUCCACAGAAUCUCUCCCCUGAAAUUUUGAAGCUUUAUAUCACUCAGGAAGGUGUGCGUUCACCGUUUUCUUCAAAGGUAAAGGAUUGAACUUCUGUUUGGUGUACGGUGCUUGCUAGUGAAGUAGGUUUUUCAGUGAUAAGUUUCUUUUUUUUUUUGUGUAAAAAUGGAAACAGCCGAAGGAUAAGCCUGUUCCGAACGCAACGCUGCAAGUUACAGGUGCUGUUGGCUGGCGAAGAGAGGGUCUUUCUUAUAAAAAGAACGAGGUCAGAGUUGUGUUUCUUUCUUUCUGUGUGUAUUGCGUUUGCUAGAUUGUGCUGUGCCUAAGUGUUGACAUUAUGCAUUGUCCACUACUGCAGGUGUUUCUGGAUAUUGUGGAAAGCGUAAACCUUCUUAUGUCCUCUAAAGGUAAGUCGUUCCCUUUGUAAAACCUUUCUUUGUUCCUUGUUUUCUUUGUAUAAUUGUUUUUUGCAUAUUAUGGAAACUGUUAGGCAAUGUUCUUCGGUGUGAUGUGACUGGGAAAGUUUUAAUGAAAUGUUUCCUUUCGGGGAUGCCUGAUUUGAAGUUGGGGUUGAAUGAUAAAAUUGGUCUUGAGAAAGAAUCCGAAAUGAAAUCUCGUCCGGCUAAGAGGUAGCCUUUGUUUAAACAGUGAUCCACACUAGCUAGUAGCACUUUCCAUGGUUCUCACCUAGCUCACUCUUUGUGUACAGUGGUAAAACCAUUGAGCUUGAUGAUGUCACUUUUCACCAGUGUGUGAACCUGACAAGAUUCAAUUCCGAGAAGACCGUUAGCUUUGUACCACCGGAUGGUGAAUUUGAACUGAUGAAGUAAGUUUUGGGAAUGUUUACUGUUGCAUAUUGUUCCUGAUACUUAAAGUUUACUGAGUUGAUGGUGUCCUCAGGUAUCGAAUAACAGAGGGUGUGAAUCUGCCUUUCCGUGUAUUGCCAACGAUUAAAGAACUUGGUCGCACACGCAUGGAAGUAAAUGUGAAGGUACAUACAUAGCUUUCCUUCUCAAAGGUUAACCAAAAAAGCGGAUUGAUCUUUGCGCUCUUACAAUCCACUCCCAUAUUUCGUCUUUUCAGGUUAAAAGUGUGUUUGGUGCUAAAAUGUUUGCGCUUGGAGUCGUUGUCAAAAUCCCAGUGCCAAAACAAACAGCAAAGACGAACUUCCAAGUGACUUCUGGUCGCGCUAAAUACAACCCAUCAAUCGAUUGCUUGGUUUGGAAGUAAGUUUUAUUUCCUUUUAAUAAUUAUUGCAUAUUUAUAGUUAUAGUACGUGGUAUUGUAUCAAUCAUUUUUUUUUUUCUUUUGAAUGAAUGAAUGUUAAAUUUUUAUUCAUCAUAUUUAUAGUUUUAUUCAAUCAUUUACCUUCUCUCUUUUACUCUUUAGGAUAAGAAAAUUUCCAGGACAAACAGAGUCCACGCUAAGUGCAGAGAUUGAGUUGAUCUCAACAAUGGGAGAGAAGAAAUCUUGGACAAGGCCACCAAUCCAAAUGGAGUUUCAGGUCAAUCUUUUCUUCUGUUGUUGGCAUUGUUGAAUAGAACCAGGUUUGUUUGAGGUGAAUGUUAAUUAACCGUCUCAGCUUCGUUCUCUUUACAGGUGCCAAUGUUCACAGCCUCUGGUCUGCGAGUUCGUUUCCUCAAGGUACGCUUUGAUUUCUAUGUUUUUGUAGAGACCAAGAAUGUGAUUAGCUAAGUUUUGGAAUCUUUAACCCAUAUCCAGUUCAAUUUUUUUUUUUUUUAGUGUUAUUUUGGCUUGCUUCAUUUGCUUCAUUGUUACCCUGGACUUGAAUGAUUUACACGGUCGAGUGGGUUCGAUACAUAACAAAAGCUGGAUCUUAUGAGAUCAGAUGCUGAACUUAAAAAUGACAGACUUGAGAGGCUCGUUGGCUUCUAGCUUUUGUUCCUUAUUGAAAAGAAGAGUUAGAUAUCGUUUAUAUCUCGUUGCUUGGCCAUAAGAGGUAUCUUGUGUUCAUAUGAUUUCUUACGUCUUUGGUUUUGAAUUAGUUUUCUCUUAUCUGUUUGUGAAAUUAAUUUGCUGUAGUUGAGCGUGAUCGUAUUUGUGAAAGAAAUAUUAAUCGGUCCUAAUAUAUUAAAUAAAUUCUAUGAUGUGUAACCAAAAUGAAUUUCGUAAUUAAUAUUUAAAUGUUACACUGAAAUUGAAAAAUUUAUUGGCUACAUUACGUUCUUUUAUCCAUCUCGAAGAUCCGCUCGUUUGUGACUAGAAGCUUUUUGGAUAUUUUACGUGUUAGAAGCGUAUUAUAUGAUAAAUUGUUUUAGAACUUUUAAAUAACUACAUAACAAGAUGGAGAAUGGACUUCCAAUUAAACAUGUGAAAGAGAUAGGCAUCAAUGUAGACCUUUUGAAGGCAAGUACGACAUCACAAUAAACCUGCACCACUAGUUGCCUCAUUGGGAUGUGGUGAUCCAUCAAAUUGACAACGAGCUUGAGCCAUGCCCAAUAUAAUCCUCUAUGUAGAAGCAAUUUUUACUCUUUCAUCCUUCAUUCGUUUAUUUCAUUUAACAAGAAUUAUCAUAAUUAAGGGUAUCAUGAUUAUCUACUAUUGAAUUUUAUUUUUUGCUUGAGCUUAAAAUUCAUGGUUAGAGACAUCAUUGCAAAUGCUAGCUAGAGCUAGGUGGAUUUUAUAUCGAUAUGACAGAAAAAUCUGCGCAGAAGGCUAUGAGCAGUGCCACCAAUACAGACUUCUAUGUAAUAAUGUAAAUAGAAGCUGAAGUUUCUCGAACUUGCAAUAACCAACCUGCGGAGCCACUAGUGUUGGGAGGAAACUAUAUGAACUUCUUCGCACAAUAUAUUUUAAAUAUAUAAAACAUAAAAUUCACUAUAAAACAAAAAUGUCAAAAGAUCUCUCUCUUUUAAAUGAAAACUAUUUUCUAUUAUCUUUUUCUCUUCUUUUCAUUAUUCAUUUUUAUUGCUAACAGAGAUGUUUUAACAUUGUGUGGACAUCUACCUGCUUUUUCUGCAACAACAAAAGAUUACUGAAUAUUAUCACAAAAUGUCGUAAUUUUUCCUAUAAAAAGCUAGGCCUGAAGCUAAUGUUUUGGCUAAUGAUCUGGUCAAGCUAAUAUUAAAUCACAAAAGUAUGUAAUCAAAUGGAUCAUGUAACUUUUAGUAGUAAUAAAUCUGUGGAGGAUAAAAUAUAUAUAUACUAUCAAAUUUAAUAAGAUAUAUUUACAUUUUCAUAAUUUAUGUAAAUAUUAAAUUCAUACUAGAAAUGAUUACCACAAAUAUUUGUUGCUAUAUUAUGGAUGAUAAUAGAAACAAACGAAGACCUAAUAAAAUAUUUUCUUGCAUGAUUUAAGUAGAAUAUCCAACCAAAAUAUUAGAUUAAAGUUAACAGGAUCCUUAAUAAUAUCUAAUAUAUUAAAUUUAAAAUAAACACAAAAUAAAAUAUCCUGAAAACCCUAUAUAAACUUUGUUUUCUAUUAAAUUACAAAUUCCGCCCACAACUUCGUCCUCUCUCUCGCGUUUGUGAUAGAGAUAGAGUUGUUAGCUAGCUCACACGCUUCUAUUCUCUCGACUCUAUUUUCUAGGAAUUAACAGCAAAACAGAAAAAGAUAAAAGAAACCAAAAAAACUGGGUCUACGAAAGUUAGGCCGAAAGAAACAAUCAAACAGUCUUUGAGAUUGAUUUUUUUUUUUCUCUCUCUCUAAUGGAUUCAAGAGAUAUCACACAAACGCAGCACCAACAGUUUCAGCCACCACUGUUUCAUUACCCUAACUUUAACACUGGCGCAAUGAUGGGACCUAACUCGACUUCCCAGUCGAUUAAUCAUCGUCUAACUUUUGGCUCUCUCACACCGCGUGGGACGCUUCAGCAGCAAGAACAGCAGAUGGAUCAGAAAACGCUUGAAUCUCUUGGAUACGUCGAUGAAGUAUCGCCUUCUUCUCAACCGAUGCGAUCUGGGAUCGAUCAGAACCAACAACAAGUGAAGAGGAAGAGAGGAAGGCCAAGGAAGUACGCUCCUGAUGGUACAAUUGCAUUAGGUUUAGCUCCGACUUCUCCUCUUGGUGGUGACGGAGACAGCGGCAGAGUAAAUACAAACUCUGCUAAACGAGCAAGAGGAAGACCUCCGGGCUCCAUCAAGAAACAAUUUGAUGCUUUAGGUGAAAUAGAAACUCUAACCCUUUGGACACGUUUGUUUGUGGUUUACAUGCAAUAUAUUUGACUGUUUUGUUUUGUGUGUGAAUAGGAACAUCAGGAGGUAUGUUUACUCCUCAUGUCAUUGAAGUGAAAGAAGGAGAGGUACAACUUUAUUGUUUUCUUUUAGUAAUCUUUAAAUGUGAUUGAUUGGUUGUUAAAACAAUGUUUAAAUGCUGCAAUAUUGGUAAAUUUAAAGAGUUUGGAGGAGGUAUUAUUUUUCAGUAAAUUAGAUGGAAGAAUGAUUUACGAGUUUUUUGGGGUUUUUUUUUCUGGUAAAUCAGGAAAUAUUAUCAAAGGUGGCGGCUCUUUCGAAUCAAGGGCCACGAACAGUUUCAGUUCUCUCUGCAGCUGGCGCAGUUUCUAGAGUGAUACUACAUAAUCCUAGUGGAAUUCAUAAUUAUAAGGUUUUUAACAAACUAUGUUCUUUCACUUCAGUAAUGUAAAGCUAAUAUUUGUUUGUGUUGAGAAUUGUACAUGUGUUCUUUUGCAGGGACGGUUCGAGAUCGUUACACUCUCAGGCUCCUUCUCCAAUUAUGAGGUAAAUGGUUCCAUCGAAAGAACUGGUAGUUUGACUGUGGUUUUGGCUGGUCCCAAUGCCCAGAUUUUAGGUGGCCUAGUUGGUCGGUUAGUAGCUGUAACACCAGUGCAGGUAACAAAAUAUAAAUCAAUAUUGGGUUUGUUGGAGUCAUAUUUGUCAUUUGACUCAUAAUUUGGUUCCGUGUAUAGAUCAUAGUGGGAAGCUUUGUUGACGAAGCAAAGAAAUUGAAACAGAGUACCGGUAACAAUGCUCAGGGACAGAAUCCUGAACCGGCUUCAGCACCAGCUAAUAUGUUGAACUUUGGAUCGAACUCUCAAGGACUAUCUAGCGAGUCAUCAGAUGGGAAUGAAAGUGGUUCUCCUUCAGUGCAGCACCAUGACAACAACAAUAAUGGGAUUUAUGGAAACUCAAUGGCUCAACAACAGCAACUGCGUCAGAUGCAAAUGUAUAAUCUUUGGCCUAGUAGUGGUCAAUAAAUAGAAUUUGCGUUUUGGUUUUGGUUUGGUUUAGGCUGGUUUUGAUCUUUGUUUCCUUUGAGAAGGUUAAGCUACAAGCUUGAGGAUUCUUUUUAGCUUCUUUUGUUUUGUUUUUGGAGAUUUUAGAUACAUAUAGGAGAUCUUAAAAUUAGGGUUCUUUCAGUUUUGUUUUACUUUACUCAUUGUAGGAGUGAUUAAUUUAGUUUCUCGGUCAAUUUUCUUUUAUUUUAUUUUACCGUGAUGGUCAAUAAAAGAUCUCUCUUUUUCUUGUUUCUUAUUCAGGAAUUUAAAGAAAACUUGUUUGUGACGUUAGGGUUAAUGUCUUUGAUAUUAAUUCGUGUUAGUUAUAUCUCAGCCGAUACAUUUGAUAAAGGACCUAACUUAGGGGUUAGGGGUGAACCUUUAAAUUCAUCACACCAUUUAUGACCAAUCAAAAUGAAACAUAGAUUAUUAAUUAAAAACAUUAAAUUAAAUAAAAAAUAGUUACAAAAAAUAAAAAAACUAAUUUUAACGACGCUAACACUUCCAGCUAAAACCUAAACCCUAUACCCUAAAUUCUAAAUCCAAAUCCAAAUUCCUAAACCCAAACCCUAUACCCUAAACCCUAAUCCUAGACCCUAAACCCAAAUUAUAUACCCUGAACCCAAAAACUACACUAUAAACCUAAACUCUAUACCCUAAACCCAAGUCUUAGACCCUAAACCCAAAUCGUAAACCUUAAACUCAAAUUAUAUACCCUAAACCCAAAAC
rnacentral:lncRNA from 1 species